rnacentral:lncRNA from 1 species
AAAAAAAAAAAAAAAAAUCCCAAGACUGGUAGACAGGUCAAAAGAUCUCUUAAAAAUAAAAUAACCUUUUUACACUGCAUGGCCGUGAACAAAAAGCAAAAAAAAAAACUGACUUUUCAUUAAAUAAGCAUUUGUUUAUUUAAAAAACGAAUAUUAAAAAGGUACUUUUACUUUAAAAAUGUCACUAAAUAUAUAAAUUGAAUAUAAUCUGAGUGUUCAUAAAAGUUAUAGAAUAGUUAUAAAAUUGUAUAAAAUAUAAAAUAGCUUAUGUUGUAAAACAAAGUACUUGGGAUCCUUUUUAUGAAAUAUAAAAAAUAUAUUAAAAAAAAGUGCUCGUGAGGCGUGAAGGAUUCGAACAUUCAGGAGAAAAAAGAAAAAUAAAAGAAGGGCGGCACGAAAAAUCGUGGGGACCAUGAUUGAUGACGACCUAGUUGUAACUAGAUCCAACGGCUGCCAAGAGCUCACCAUUCAGAAAGAGAAAUAAAAUACAAAACGCAAUUAAAAUCAUCACACGCGAAUCAAUGUGAGAUUGAUACCUUUGAUGCGUUUUACAGUUACAUCAACACUAAAGCAGCAGAAGACAACAACAAAAAUGGUUGCUACCACUAGUACACAACACAAGCCACUUACAUUGAGAAACGGGAAUCCUAAUCUUAAAAAAGCGAAACGUUUCAAAACGACUGCGUUUCUGUUCUUUGCCUUCUGAAAGUCAGAGACUUUUCAAGAUUAUGCUUUUCGAACCUGUUUACAACAGAUUCGUCCUUUUGUACGAUUCUCAAUCUCAUCAAAGUUAUGUCUUAAAUUUUUUCUUUUUUUCAUAACACUGGGUACAAUUUUAAAAGGUUUUCUUAUGUAUUUUAUUAGCAUUAAAAUUAUAAAUCUUAAGAAAUAAUUAAUUAAUUUGAUUAAUAAUUUACUAAAAACAAUUAGGUAUACUAUACUGUUUUUACAGCAGAAUAUAUUGUAUUUAUAAUCGAAUUUAAUCUGGUUUUAGUGUGUGCAUAGGCUAUAAAUUAUUAUUUUGAAAUAUAAGAAUUAAAAGACCCACUUAAUAUACCAACAAAAGAGUUCUUAAUAAAUUAUAAUUUCUCUUGCAAAUGCGUUAAACGUUAAUAUUUUUAAAUUAAACUAUAGCGUAUUCUUUACUUUUUAGAGAAACCCCAUAGUCAUAUUUUCUAUUUUUAAAAAGAAGCAAGUAUAUUUUCAUGGUAUUAGCUUAACGCUUUAAUAGGUGUUUAGUGUUGACGGAGAAAUUUUGUUUUUGUUUCUUUACGGAGAAUCUGGUUAUUUUAGUAAAAAAAUGUUAAUGAAAAUCGGAUCCAUGCCAUAAAUGUUGCAAUAACAUCUCGUUAAAAAUUCACAAAUUAUGAAUCUAAUAGUCAAAAUUUUAGAACACAUAUCGGAUCCAGGUGAGGGAAACACGUACUUGCAUCUUGAAACUUGAAUGAGUCUUAAAAAAACAUUUUUAUUUCUUAUAAAAUCAAAUAUUCGAUUUGUUUCCUUAAUAAAUAUAUUUUUAUUCACAAAAUACUUUUUUAAACCUAUUCCCACAUUUUAAUGGAGUUUUUUUCUGUCGUCACCAACCACAGAACUAGUUUGCUGUGUACAGAGAAUCAAAUGACCAAACUUCAAAGAAUAUGCUUUUAUGCAAAAAAGGAAACACACGAAAAAUAAUUAAAGACAGAACAGAACUAAAAAAAAAUAAGACUCAGAUUCAGACUAAGCUUAUGAAAAAAAAACUCUAGUCUAUAUAGGGAAAGUUUUUACUGUUACUUACCUGAAUCAGUGAUAUCACUACUCGGAGAAUCGUCUUCAACGUCUCCGUUAAGUUCACUUUCCGUCAGCUUCUCGCCGUUAAAACAAACGCUCUUCAUCUCCGCCGUCUCUGUUCGGCUCUGUUUCAGAUCCUCCGCCGUCUCCGUUUUCAUCUCCUCCACCAGAUCCUCCGUCUUCUUCGCCUCCAGUUUCUGCAGCUCGAUCGCCACCUCGGCGAUGGAGUGAUACUUCUGCAUCUGGAGAACGGGGAUCCAGUUCAGGCGCCGGCGAUGGAUCGCGGCGAAGACGGCGUCGUACUCCGAUCCGGGAACAGCCUCCCUGAGAUGCGAGCACACCGCGUCGAUAAUCGCGUUGGCGGCGGCGAACUCGCCGCGAAACCACGAGAUCAGCGCGUCCUUCCCCUGUCCGUCGGAGACAACGGCCACCGGCGGAACCGUCUUCGCCGUCGCCGUCGCGAAAGGAGAGGCUGAUCGAUCUGUUUGGCGUGAUGGCGUCACCGCAAUCGUCAUCGGCAUGCGAGGAAUCUCGGUUGUUUUCACGGCGGCGGGAGCAGGAGAAACAAAACGGGUGAGAAAUGCGGGUCGGGUUGCGUCGGGCCGGGUCGGGUCGAUGCACAUGCAGUUUAUAAUGAAGAAAGGUUUUCGCUGGUGGGAUCGUUCCAAUAUAUAUUGGAGCAGCCGGGGAAAGAGAUCUGUACAGGUGGGUGAGAUGACGUGGCGCUUUCUUAAGGCUGACGUGGCUAAGUUUAUGGCGCAGAGUUUUUUAUAAAUUGGGACGAAAAGGGAUUAAUAUUUGGUGGUUAUUUUCUUCCAUCUAUUAAAUUGGUAUUAAGAGAUUGCGAUUUACUAGAGAUAGAGAUUAAUUUAAGACUGUUGACAGUUAGCAGAUUUACUUGGGCAAUACUCAAAGGGAUGUAAGUGGUUGUACAUUUAAAAGAAUAAAAGUUUGGUCAAAACUCCAAUUAUUCAAUUUUGGUAAAAUAUACUCCCUCCGUUUUUUAAUAUAAGUCGUUUUACAGCUAUGCACGUAGAUUAAGAAAACCAUUAAUUUCUUAUAUUUUCUAAACAAAAACAUCAUUAAUUAUUUACCUAACCAUAAUUCAACCAAUAGAAAAAUAUAAGAUAUAUUACCAUUGGUCAUACAACAUUAAUUGUUAAUAAAUUUUACAUAGAAAACCGAAAACGACAUAUAAUUUGGCACAAAAAUUUUUCUCUAAAACGACUUAUAAUAAAAAACGGAGGGAGUAUAUACAAACAAAAGAAAUACUAAUACAUUUAAAAUCUUCAAAAAAUAAUUAUACUAAAAACUGUUAAUAUUUGUUUUUGAAAAUUUGAACUUAAAACAUGAUGUAAAACACUUAUUCACUGGUAACAUAAAUAGAUAAAAUAGUAUUCAAUAAAUAAUUUUAUAGUUAAUUUAUACUCUUUCCGUUCUUUUAUAAUUGACGCUUUAGGAGUUUUUACACAAAUUUAAGAAACUAAGAUAAUACCUUAUUUUAACCUUUAUACAUACACCCUCUGUUUCCGAAAGUAAAAUGUUUUAGAUUUUUUACUUGUUCCACAAAGAUAGAUUUUCUAUAUGUUUAAGAUAUUUUUUAUAUUUUUAAGAAACAUUAAAUGAAAAUAUUUGAAUUGAUUAAAUUUCAUUGGUGAAAAAUUAUUGGAAAGUGUAUAAUAAAGUAAAAGAAAAGUUAAAUUAUAAACAUUUAUUAAAUUCUUAAUAAGCAUUAACACUUUAGAAAAUCUUACUUUCGGGAACCGAGAGAGUAUUACUUUACUCCACAAUAGUAAUACGACAGUUCAUACUAAAAAAGGUAAAAGAAGUUAGUUUUUCUUAUUUGCUGUCUAAAAUUCUGGAAAGGACAAGUAUAUAAAAACAAAAUAAAAUUCCUACAGUGUCAAUUAUAAAAGAAAGGAGGAAGUAUAUUUUAAUCUUUUAUAUCAUAUUAUUGUGUUAUUUUGUAAAUUUAUUAUUUUCUUAAUACGUUGUUGUUACUCUAUUUUAUAAUCUUGUCGGUUCGAACUAAAACUUCAAAAAUCUCAAAUUUGUAAAACCUAAAAUUUAGUACACAUUACUUAUCGAUGAUUUAAGUUUGUUCUUAAACAGAGUCGAUCCUCAUAAGAAAGUGGUCAUGCACUAACUUAUGGCCUAUACAAAAUGAUAGAAAAACUAAUCUUUUGUUAGCACAUCAAAUUCAUUUUGAUAUAUGAUAAAUGCUCUUUUAAAGCUGUGCCUCAAAAAAAUUUCAGGGGCAACAUUAUUACUAAAAGUUUGAUUUAAUUAAGCGCUGGCCAAACAAGUAUAUUAUAUUAAUCUGUUUUAAAAGAGUCACGUUUCUUAAGUUCUUUCAAAAGUUGUGACAUGGCUUACUUUUGGGUUGACGUUAACGCACAAUAGUUCAUUGGGAUAGAAAGAGGCAAGAAUAACGAAAGGACGGCCAAGAGCUAAAGAGUUAUCUUGUCCAUGUUACACAAAUGACCUUAUGUAACCUGAAUUAGUCGCAUUUUCAUAGGCAAAUUUCUCUUUUCACUUUCAACGAGUUUUUAAUAUGCUGAAAGAUGGUACGCAUAUCUUAAUGUAAUUAACUAGAAUUUGAUCUGUGCGUACGGAUAUUGACUUAUGUUUUAUAACUAUAUAUUUAUUUUUCAUAAUUAAUGCUAUAUAUUUUAGAUGUGUCGCCAUAUUCAAAAUAUUUGAAUUGAAUCGGAUAAUGUAGUUAUUUUGGUAUACAUAUUAAAUCCAUUUUAGAUAUAUUGGUUAUUUGGAUAUUUUUAAGUUUCUAUACAUCAAAAAUAAUAUAUUUAAAUCUCGGAGGACCCAACUCGAGAACCAUACGUAAAUUUAUAAUAUCCAAGCGGACCUAAUUAUAAAACCCAAAAAAAUUUGAUAUCCGAAAGAAACAUAAAACAACCCGUACCUAAAUGGGUACCCGAAUAUCUAUUGCUAACUAAUUAUGUAAAAAAUAAAUAUAGAAAGAGUUUUUUUAUUUAGUAUAAUAAUUAUAUGGUGUGAAAAAUUAAGUGACAAUAUAUGUAAUACAUUUUUAUUAUUUUGAUCUAAGUAAUUAUUUUGUUCACAUAAAUAAUAUGUUUGGCUACAUAGUUUUUCACCGAUUAAAACUAAGAUAAAAAAAAUUAGUAAAACAGAAUAAACCAAAAUUUUAACCAUAUGCAAAACUCGAUUAUUUUAUAUUUUAAUUUUUAUAAUUGGUACAAAGUUAAUGUUGAUUAACUAUUAAAUAAAAUCUGUGCUAUUAUUAUUAUAGUAAUAUAAUUAAUGAUAUAAUGUAUUGUUAAGAUAAUAUUAUUAAUGAAGUUUUUAAACUGGACGAAAAAUGAAAUAACAAUUAACGUAAUAAUUUGUUGAAAGGAAGGUUAAUUCUAUUUGUAAUUCAGUUUUUUAAUAUUAUAGAUGAUUUAUUCAUUUCCGCAGAUUGUUAAUGAAAUAAUAAACUUUCAUAUAUGAUGAUAAUUUAUCUAAUAUCAUCUGUCAAAAAAUAUUUUGGGUAAAUAUAAUCAUAUUUCCCCACUUAAUUUUUUUUUAUCCCCACUUAAAAUUUUGAUAGAUGAUAUUAGAUAAAAUAUUAGUUCUUUUCAAUACUAUUUUCUCUGCUUUUUAUCAAUAUAUACCAUAACAACUGCACCAUUUCUUCAGUUGGUAAUGCGAAGAUGAUAUAUAGAGACGUCAAACUCGCAAUCUUUUCUAGGAGUAAACUGAAGCAAUUCAAACCUCUCCUGCCAAGCUGGAUCCUAUAAGAUGUUGGGCAACCAACGUUAUCUUACACUGCCUUGUUUUUCCUUUAUUUUUUUGCCUUGGUAGAGUAAUUAUAGAUUGCACUUAUUGUAAAUCAGAACAUCAUUUAUAUGAUAUUAACAUUCUUAGCAAAAAAAUAUAUAAAAAAUAAAUAAAUUAACUACUUACUAGUAAACUGUAUAUAUAAAAUGUAAUAAAUUGAUUGUUCCAUGUUUAAGUGUUCUUUACCUUUACACCAAACCAAAGUGGCAAACUCAUGAGUCAUGAUUUCAAGGACCAUGUCCAUGAGGCCCGUGGAAUAUGAUCUAAGAGAUGACGUAUAAAAUAAUACAAAUCAAUUUGAUUUGUAUAUAUGUCCAAGAUAUUAACUAGUCUAAAGACCUUUUACUAUUGUCGUUGUUCUCAUUUGACCUUUUCCUUUGUUUACAAGUCAAUCGACUAACAACCAAAAAGGUCCCUUCUACGUGAUUAAUUAUAAUAUUUAUGACAUUAUGUAGCACAGUUACAUUACACGAUUAAAAAGAGAGAAAGUACUUGGAUUCUUGUAACAUUUCUGAUUAAGGCCAAAAUCUCUAAAUAUCCAAUAUAAGAUGGUUGACAAAAGUAAUAAUUGAAUUUAGUGGUAAUACUAAUUACAACAUAUACCCAUAAGGAGCAAAACGUUAUGUAGCAUUGUCAAAAAGCUUCGAAGAAGCAAUGAAUGAUGGGUUAGAAACAACGAAAUGUAAACUUAUGGGACCCGAAUGAAAAGUCUACAAUUUCGUGGGGGGAGGUGAAAACUGGCCCUACGUCUUCCAGAUUUGUGGGUCGCAUGAACAUCUCCACCCUCUAAAAUCAGUAGAUUCCCGUUUCCACUACCUAAGGCACAAACUCAAAAGAGAGCAUGGGGUUAACCACGAACCCUUGGUGACCCCUAAAAGUGUUGCUCAUUUUAUUCAUAAGAAGUUUCUAGUCAUGGUUCACGGAGAUAUAUAUACAUGUAAACUUUAAGACCGUAUGCAAGUUAUUAUCACAUAACUUUACUAAAUAAAAUUCUUAAUAGCUUUUUCUGGUAUUAUAUAUGAUGCAAACCCCAAUUAAUUUGAAAGUAGACAACGUUGUUGAAUACAAAUACACUAUGUUGAACAUUUUAAAUGAAGUUUAUAACCAACUAGUCCAAAAACAACACUCGAUCGACAAAUAAUUCUGUAUGUACAAUAUUUUCAAUAGACAGAUUGUCUAUGCACACACAGUGGCGGAGCUAGCUUGACAUGAGGGGGGUCAAUUGACCCAUGUGACUUUUGACAAAUUUAAUUUUCAUGCUUAUAUAAUUCACUUUUCAUAGAUAAUUUAGUAUUAUGACCCUCAUGAUCCAAGUCUAAAUACUCUAUGUGCACCUAGUCAAUAAACAUUUUGGAUUGAUCAUUUGCUUAUGGUAAUAUUAUUGACCCUCUUGAAACUCAUUUCUGACUCCGCCACUGUGCACACAUGAAUAUAACAAACGCUUCUGUCCACGACAUUCUUGAACUCGACUUCGGAUAAGCUUUGCAUUCUAUGACUUGAAAGAAAUUGUAGCAUUUUGAAAACCAAAUUUCUCUGAUGUAAUAAUUUUUAAAUAUUAAACACUUAGGCCAAUCGUUUCCACCAAUUAUUUACAUAUCUAAUGCACAUUUUCUUAUUAAAUAAUUAAUCAUAUAAAUCUCUUAUAUAUUAAUUUUUUCAUUCGUUAGGAAAUAAAGUUUCUUUUUCUUAAAAGAAUAUUGUUACAUGUGUUGGACUGUAAUGAGUUUUUAUAUUCUUCCAACUUUGAUCGGAGUUUUGCUCUCUAAAUGAAGUAAGUCUUUAAGUAGCCUUUUCCCAUUAACAUACAUAUAUCAAUAAUUUAAACAUGUCGAAUAUGUGGAUAUCGCAUUAUUCGUGUAUAUAGAGAUACCCUCCUUCCAUGUGAGAAAGAUGGUCCAACCAAGUAAAAGCUAGCAUGUAUAUUUGUUUAUUGUGAACCUUUACAUACAAUUAUAUAACUUAUUUUAUUAAUCAUUAAGUAUUGAUUGGUGUAAAGCUUAUAAUUAUUAUUGUUCAUGGAAUAUGAGCCAGGCUCUACAAGAAGAAAGAUAGAAUAGUUUCUCUCUUUUUGCAAAUUGCUAAGAAUAAUUUAUCUCGAGAAUGAGGAAUCAAAAGAUGACUUUUUCACUUUAUCAAUUUAUCUGGAGUUUGUAUGUAAUAUGUAUAUAAAUUUUCAUGUUGACAGCAUUACAAGUACAGAUAUUUAUGUGGUUAUGUAGUAUUGACACACUGACGUUCUUAGUGCAACAACGAAACUACGUUUGUGUUGGUAAAAAAUAGCAACCUCAACUAGUUGUACCUUAGUGGCAAAGAUAAUUUGAGGUACAACGUAAAUCUAUUUAUACUAAAUUUGAUUUAGCUGAAAACAAUAUAAUUGGUAUUUAUUCAGUCUGAGUUUAGAUUUUGAUCCACACUGUUUACAAAAUAGUCUAGUAGCUUCAGCUUUUUUUUUAGCAUUAGUUAGAAUACAGUUUAAAUUAACUGAGGUCAGACAAAGUAAUAGCUAAUCUACUUUGUAACGUUAAAUAUAUCUUUUCAGGCAUCAACCGUAUCAACUAUUAAGGGCAUGACUGGUUUUCCCGCUACCACCCGCAAACGCAGCUUUUGCGGUUGGUAGCGGUUGUUGGCGUUUUGCAACAAUCGCUCAAACCGUUCCAAACCGCUCCAAAUCGCUCUGAACCUCAUAAAUUCAAAAGCUCGUUCCAGCUAGCGUUUGCGGUUGCGGGCGGUUGCGGGAGGAUAAAAAAAAUUUCUUUUUUUCCAAAACAAUAUAAAUACAAAAAUAAAAAUAUUCAAUAAAAAAAUUAAAUUAGAAUUAUAAAAAUGCUAAAAUAUAUCUAUUAAAUUUUAAUUAAUAUUAUAAAACUUUAAAAUAAAAAUAUUUUCUAUAUUUUUAAAAAAAUUAAACUAUAACUUUCUAAAUAUAACUUUUAUAUUUAUUAUAAUAUUAUUAUUUUUGAUAUUUUUAUAAUUGUAUAAAAUGUAAAUAUUGUUAAUUUAUUAUUUAACCGCUGCUGCACUUUGUAGUUAACCAGUCAUAAGUAUCCCGCAAACGCACCAAUUUUUAACCGCAGAACCAGUCGUACAAAUCUCUUAAAACCGCUAGAAACCGCAACCACCCGCAUCUACAAACUCCCGCAACCGCAACCGCAAUCGCUGCGGUUGAACCAGUCAGGCCCUAAGACAUUAAAAACAUAGCGAUCAUUCUCUGUGAUACGAAGUUUUAAUUUUAGUUUCCAAAAAAACUUUUAAUUUCUAUUAUCUUAAUUAGCUAUAUUCUUAUUUUCUUACAUAUUAUUAUGUAUAGUCAUUUAUAAAAUAUCUUGUACAUUAUAGAUCAUAUAGUUAAAUUCUAUCUUAUGACUAUAUGAUAAUUACAUCAAUGUUUAUGGAUAUCCUGGCAUCCUGCGAAGUCCAUUUUAACCAUAAACAUAGGUUUACGAUAUUACUGGAUAAUCAUACAAAACUCAGCUUUUAGCCUCUAGAUGUAAGUUAUAACAGAGGGAAUUUAAUAACGAUGAGAGAUUAGCGAUAUAUUGACAAACAAUUAAAGUAGGAAAAGUGGUAUUCUUUUUUCUUAGCUUUUUUUUUUUUUUUGUAACUCUUCUUUUUUCUUAGCUUUGCCGCUAAAAAGUACGAUAAAUGGAAAAUAUGCUCUUGUCUUCUGAGCCUCAAAGCCUUAAGAAGAUUCUUACAUAUCUUACAUGUCAAAGUAGUAAAGAGAUAGUCGGUAACACAUUCCCAUGUGGUCCGGAAAACAAAAGUUCCUUAUAUUUUUUGGGAAUAUUAAUAGGCAAAUUGGUGUAGGAUUUGAGUAUUCUAUGUUGCGUACGUAAAACAUACAGUAGUCUGUAGUGAUUAUUAAAAAUUAAUCUGUCUUUGAUCCAGUGGUUGGUUUCAUGAUCUUAGACUUCGAUAAUAUGUGAAGUUUCUUCCUUUUUCGGUUAAAUAUUGUAAUGGAUUAAAGUUAAAAAAAAGUUACUGUAAUGGAUUUAAAAAGAGAAGUAACCAUGUUAUGUUUAACAUUCUAACUCUGGAGUUUAUGAUGUUCAUACAAUGAGAUAUAGAAAACUAUUAUGCAUAUAUUCCUUAUUUAUUAAUUGAGAAACUUUAAAACAUGUGAGUGAUAUUAUGUGUUAUCAUCAGAAUUUACUCUUAAAUUUUUUAGAGAAAUAUAUUGGUUUAUCUAAACAUAUAUAUACUAUAUAUUUAUUAAACUAAUUAUAAAAUUAAUUAGUAAUCUACAAAACAUAAUAUUACUUAUUUUUUUAAAAAUAAAAAUUACGGAAUUACCUAAUGUGAUUAAAAUAUAUAUGAAAAUUAAUAAUUCUGAAUAAUAAAAGUUUGAUAAUAAUUUGUAUAUUCUCUAUCAUUUUUUAAUUCUAUAUUAUUAAGGUAAAUUAAAUAAUCAAAUUAAGUAUAUAAUAAUUUUUAGUAUUUUCCGUAUAUGCUAUAUUUUGAAUUUUAAAAAUGAGUAUAAAUUACUAAAAAUUGUUAAAAAUCUCACUUGAAAAUUCUGUGAUCAAUUAUUUAAUUUUUAUUAUAGCAAAGACAAAAAGAUCAUAAAACCAUAUGAGUAGAAUUUUUUGUAUAAUAGAUAUUAAAAAUGUAUAUCUAUUUUAAUAUUGUUUAAAUGCUACUAUAUACCAUAUAAAAUAUUUUAAUUUCAAAAUUUUAGAAAUAUGUAUUAUAUUUGAAUUGACAAAAAUUGAAUUCUUUUUACAAUUUUAAUUUAAGCAAUCAAUAAAAUAUAUUUUACAUACCUUUAUUAUUUUUAAAAAAGUUAUUUAUUUGACAAAUAUUUCAUAUCUUACAGAACGCAGAUUAUUACUUAGUAUCAAAUUACAUACAUCAAUCUUCUAUUUUUCUAACUUAUAAGUAUAUUGUUGGGUGGGGCUGUGAUGCAUUUUCGUUGUAGAGAUGUACACGUUUCAACCAACUUCAGUUAACCAUAACAAAAAAGCUUAUUAUCAAAAAAAUUAAACAUAUAUAAAAAAAAUUAAACAUAUAAUUUGGAGGUUACAUAUUUUUCCAUGGGUUCGACGAUUAUGUUUUGAAUGCAUAUAUGUGCUUUCUGUUGUAUAUGUUUCUAUAGAAAAUUCCAAUUUUUAAUACUUUUUUGAAGGGAUGCCUUCAUCUCAAAUUUCGAAACUAUAAAGUCUAAAAAUUAGAAAUGUUUACCCCGAUCGGUUGCCUAGUUUUUUAGUUGCUCUUAUCAAAUUCAGUAUAGUGUGCUUUGAAGAAGUUGGUUGAGUCACGAAAUCGUUAAAAUCGCUGAAAUUGUUCGUUAUUGAUGUUGUUAAUCUAUUUUAGAGGUUUAUAACCCUUGUCAAAUUCAGUAAAAUAAGUUGUUGUUUUUGUGUAUGAUAAAACCAUUUUCAAAGAUAAAAUGAUAUAUAUAUAUAUAUAUAUAUAUAUAUAUAUAUAGUAAUAAAAAGUCAGGCACUAUUUUUAUUUUUCAAUACUAGUUUUAUCUCUGAAACUGGUUUGAUUUGGCAUGAUUUUAUCAAUCACAUUUUAUACAAAUUAUGGUUUAAGUGUACAUUUCAGCUAAACACCUAAUACAUGUGAGUAUUAAGUUAAUUCCCACUUUUUUACGAGUAUGAAAUUUUGUUGUACCAUCAAACCAAACUUCUGGUGUUGGGACGUAAAAAGCUUUCAUGCUUUCUUGUUGAUAUACUGGUGGAAGAAUCGUGAUCUUCAAAGAAAACUUUCAUGUACAAAGGCUUCAACAUCGUUAAUGGCAUCUUGGGGUAUCAAGAAAUAAUAGGAUUGAUAUAGACUAUUAAGAAAUAAAGUAAGGCGGUCCAUGGCAACGCAUGUGAUUAGACGAACUACUAGCAUGCAACGUGGAUAAGUAGGAACCGUUGCUUUGGAAAGCAUAAGAGAGACAUCAAUUACAAAUGAAAUCGCCUAAACACUACAAAAUGCAUCAGUAUAUUGUGACAUUUGAGAUGGUCUUGAGUCUUGACAAAGAUAUACAACUUAAUCCCGACAUACAUGUCUAUUGAAGAAACGCAACUCAUUUAAUUCGGGAUCUCUUUCAUGUAUAGUUGUAGACAACUUGUACACUCUUUAUUAAUUCAAAAAGAAGAAUAAAUAUAUUAGAGAGUUCUAGAUUUUUGGAUAUAAACAUUUUUCAGACUGGGAUCACAAUAAGUUUUUUUUUUAACAGAUAGAGUUAUUUUUUCAAAUAUAAAUUUAUCUUGGAUAUUUUGAGCUGACAUAAAAAUUAAAAUAAACAUUUUGUAAAAGUUAUUUUCUUUAGAAUAAAUUUUACUAAAUAAACUAUCCUAUACCUAGUUUUAUAAUAACUGCGGUUAGAAGACUAAACAUAAAUGUAAAAAUAGAAACCCAUUUAUAAAAGAGAAACAUCUUCAAAAAGCAUCAAAUCAAAACAAGUAUUUGUCCCCACUAUAGCAAACCAAAAAAAAAGAAAUUACCGUUUAUUAAAAUUAUUAAAAAAACAUAACUACAAAUAGUUUGGGAUUUAAUUUUAGAAUUUAAAACAAUAAUAUUUAGUAAAAAUAAUUAGUCUUUUUGCUCCUUAAUAAAUGUUAUGUUUGUGACAAUUGUUAUAGUGAUAUUUACUCUUUACAUAAUUCAGUAAUGAUAUAAUAGUUGAUUUGACAUACAUAAUGACCUAUAUUUUAUAAUUAAAAACUGAAAAAAUGGUUUAAAAAUCCAAUGAAAGAAAGCUAAAAAAAAACUAAAAUUAUUUAUAAACUGAAACCCCAAGUUUAUCUUUAAAUGUGCCUAAAAAACUCUAUAUCCAAAUUGAUUCAUGGUAAUGUUAACAAGUUUUUCGGGCAUCUAUGGGCCAUUAUUAGUUUAAAUGGGCCAAUAAUAGUAAAAAAAGGAACUCAAAAAUGGGCUUAUCCGGGUCGGGUCGGGUUAUAAGAAAUGAAAUAACAGAAACCCUCACAGGCGACUAAAACCCCCAAUCUCACUUCUUCCUGUGUAGACUCAAAAUGGCUUCCGUCGCUCUUCGUAACCCUACCUCGAAGCGGAUUCUUCCCUUCUCCUCUCAGAUCUACUCGCGCUGCGGUGGCUCCAUUUCUUCUCCUCCUCCCUCGAUCUCGCAUUCAAUCGGAGGAGAUGAUCUGUCUCCUCCGUCAAGUUUCGGAGCUUCUCUGUGGAGAUCGAUGGCUACUUUUACUCGAAAGUGAGUUUCUUUCUCAUUGAUUUUGAAUUGGUUUGGAGAUUGGUUUAAUGAUUGUGUUCUUUUGUUGCAGUAAACCUCAUGUGAAUGUGGGAACGAUUGGGCAUGUGGAUCACGGGAAGACUACGCUAACUGCUGCAAUCACAAAGGUGAUUCUUUUUUCUAAACAUUGAUGAUAGAGAGUUUCUAAUAGAUUGAUUCUACUAAUUGUUUAGGUUCUUGCGGAAGAGGGGAAAGCGAAAGCUAUUGCCUUUGAUGAAAUUGAUAAAGCUCCUGAAGAGAAGAAGAGAGGGAUUACUAUUGCUACGGUUUGUGUUUUUAUCUUCUUAUUCUUGUCUUCAAGAGAAUGUUUUUUUUUUGCUUUAGUCUUUUUACUUGAUGGUACUUGUUUAUGUAGGCUCAUGUGGAGUAUGAGACUGCUAAGCGUCACUAUGCUCAUGUGGAUUGUCCUGGACACGCAGAUUAUGUUAAGGUAAGAAGCAAAACGUUCUUUGUAUUUCAUAUAGGUGUUGCCAAUAAUGAUACUCUAGAAAAUUCAUAAUAUGUCACAUGUCACAUGUGAUCAUGGCUUUGAAGUAUGAUUAGUGGAAGUAUUAUUAUGUGGGAAUGCAUCAUAGUAUAAGUGACAUGUUUAGUGGAGUAGCAUGCAUCAGUAUAUAGAUUUUUCUUUUGAAAUACUUUGAUGAACACUUGAGUUGAGCGUCAAUGGUUAAGUUGCUUACUUUCAGAAUAUGAUCACUGGAGCUGCACAAAUGGAUGGUGGGAUUCUUGUGGUUUCAGGUCCUGAUGGACCCAUGCCUCAGACUAAGGAACAUAUUCUACUUGCACGUCAGGUUUGCAUCAUUACAAUCUCAACACUUAAAGCUACUCAAAAUGAGGUUAGAUAUUAAUUUUGUGAUGUUCCAACAGGUUGGUGUUCCAUCACUUGUGUGCUUCUUAAACAAAGUCGAUGUGGUGGAUGAUCCGGAGUUGCUGGAGCUUGUAGAGAUGGAACUGCGUGGUUUGUGAAUCUUUUAUGUUACAGAAUUUAGUUUUCUGAUCGUAUGAAGUAGUUCAAGCAUCUGACUGACAUCAACUCUUGUCUUGAUCCAGAACUUCUCAGCUUCUACAAGUUUCCAGGGGAUGAUAUUCCCAUCAUCAGGGGAUCUGCUCUGUCUGCACUGCAGGGCACUAACGAUGAAAUAGGACGGCAAGCUAUAUUGAAGCUAAUGGACGCUGUUGAUGAAUACAUACCAGACCCUGUUCGUGUGCUGGACAAGCCUUUCUUGAUGCCAAUUGAGGAUGUUUUCUCGAUUCAGGUAUACUAAUCUGCAUCCUUGCGUUUUCUCCAUUCACUCCCUUGUUUCGGAAAAUAAGUUCUGAUAGUUUUCUUCUUCUUAAAGGGACGUGGAACUGUUGCAACGGGUCGGAUUGAACAAGGAGUCAUCAAAGUGGGUGAAGAAGUCGAGAUAUUGGGUUUAAAAGACGUGAGUGUGUAUGAAUACUGCGUUUAUUCAACCAAAGUAGUGAUUACAGUUAAGCAUUUUCUUGAUUUGAUUUCCAGGGACCUCCAAUGAAAUCGACUGUAACUGGGGUCGAGAUGUUCAAGAAGAUUUUGGAUAAUGGACAGGUAAAGGCACCAUCGAGAGAUUACAAAGACAGGUUCUAGGCAUGUUUGAUUAAACUUUGGCUUUCAUUAUGUUAGGCUGGUGAUAAUGUAGGACUUCUUCUUCGUGGGCUAAAGAGAGAAGACAUCCAGCGUGGAAUGGUAAGCUUAUACAUCCUUAUUUUGACUAGUGGAUGAUUGAAUGUGAGCAUACUAAUGCUUUUGCUUAUUAGGUAAUUGCUAAGCCUGGCUCAUGCAAGACAUACAAGAAGUUUGAAGCAGAGAUUUAUGUGCUCACAAAGGACGAAGGUGGACGUCACACUGCUUUUCUCUCCAACUACAGGCCUCAGUUUUACUUGAGGACUGCAGAUAUCACGGGAAGAGUAGAGUUACCAGAAGAAGUGAAGAUGGUUAUGCCUGGUGACAAUGUCACUGCAGUUUUCGAGCUUAUCAUGCCUGUCCCACUCGAAAUAGGUCAAGAAUCCUUCAGACACUCUCCCUUUAUGUGCUUCCAACAGUUUCAGUUUCAGUUUCUGACUUGCUGUCACUAUUUGUCAAAACAGGUCAAAGAUUUGCUCUGAGGGAAGGAGGCAGAACAGUUGGAGCUGGUGUUGUGUCAAAAGUGAUGACUUAGGGAGUUCUCAAAAGGCACAUUCUUACGUUUUCUCUAGGAACCCAUCAGUGAUGUGUUUUGUUUCCUUUUGGUUUCACUGCUUUGAAAUAACACAGAAACAUAUCUCAAGUUUCCAUCGAGAAGAUUAGUAUUUUCUGCAAUUGUUUAGUAUUUUAAUAUGUUUUGAGUUUUAAUUAUACCACUAUAGCUUGAUCCGCACGGCCGUGCGGGUAUCUGUUUUUUACUUUACUAUUUAAAUGUUUAUUGGUUAGUAUUUUAAACAUUUAGCAUAUUUUAAAAAGUUUGUAAACAUAAAAAUUAAAUAGUUUAUAUGGUGUAAAAAAAUAUUGAUCCAUGCACAUGAUGCAUUGAUAUGUUUAAAUAAUAUUUCUUUUAACACGAAAUCGUUUUUCAAGUGUAAUAAUAAUUAUAAUAUUUUGAUUAGAUAUGAUGAGAUUUAGAUACAACAGAAAGGAAUAUUCAGUUUUAAACAUUAAUACAUCAUUAAUAACUGAUUUUUGAAAAGGCGAAGAUAAAUAAAUUAUAAUAUAAAUUUUUGUGGUGUCCAUUAAUUAUAUUCAUCUUUUUACUAAAGUAAUUAUGUAUAGUUACCGAAAUGUUAGGAAAUUACGUUAGUUUUGUUGCCAAAUAAUUUUUGUCAGUUAUAAUUAUUUUAGGAAAUGAUGUAAAGUUGGAAAAGACAAAAAUUAAUUAAAGUUAAGAUUAUUUAUUACUUCAGUGGCAUUGCUUUGUAAAUAAGUUGUAAGUUUUGGGAGUAUUUUUUAUUUUUAUUUGUAUUUCUAUUUUAGUAAGAUAGAUUUUUUUUUCUAAUUUCCUCCAUACACGUGAAUAUAUAUAUAUAUAUAUACAUAAAUCUCUCCUUUUAUUAUAGUUAUACUUAAGUACCAUGAAAAAUAAUUUAGAAUACAUUAAUACAAAUGUAGAAUGUGGUUAGAAAUUUUAAAACAAUAGUAAAGAUUAUAGGCUUCAGUACAUUAACCAUUUACCAAAAAACUGAAUAUUUUGUAGGGGUGUUAACACAUAGAUUUUGAGAAAAAUUCAAAAUAUAUAACAAUAUUUUUUUAAUACAUAGUUGUAUCAUGAACUAAUAUAUAAUGAUGGUAUGAGUGGUUUGGUACCUUUGUUAUCUCCGUUUUUCUAGAAUAGCGAUUUUAUUGGGGGGUUUCCACUGAUUUAUGGAGCAUAUGACGGUUUACUAAAUUAAUCGAUAAAAAAGAGAACGAUGCCCAUGUACCAUGAAAGAGAGUUUAGAAUACAUUAAUAUAAAUGUCGAAUGUGGUUAAAAAAUUUAAAACAGCACUAAAGAUUAUAGGCUUGAGUAUAUUAACCAUUUACCGAAAAGCUGAAUAUUUUGUAGGGGUUAACACACAAAUUUUGAGAAAAUUUCAAAAAAAUGAAAAAAUGUUUUAACGCAUAGUUGUAUCAAGAACUAACAUAUAAUGAUGGUUAGAGAACCUCUGUUGUCUCUAUUUCUCUAGAAUAACAAUUUUAUUGGGGUUUGUCCACUCAUUUACGGAUCAUUUAAAGUUUUACUAAAUUAAUUGAUAAAAAAUAGAAUGAUGCCUAUGUACCAUGAAAAAGAAUUUAGAAUACAUUAAUACAAAUGUAGAAUGUGGUUAGAAAUUUUAAAACAACAGUAAAGAUUAUAGGCUUCAGUACAUUAACCAUUUACCAAAAAAUUGAAUAUUUUGUAGGCGUUAACACGUAGAUUUUAAAAAAAAUUCAAAAUACAUAACAAUAUUUUUUUAAUGCAUAGUUGUAUCAUGAACUAAUAUAUAAUGAUGGUAUGAGUGGUUUGGUACAUUUGUUAUCUCCGUUUCUCUAGAAUAGCGAUUUUAUUGGGGGUUUCCACUAAUUUAUAGAACAUAUGAAGUUUUACUAAAUUAAUUGAUAAAAAAAAGAACGAUGCCCAUGUACCAUGAAAGAGAGUUUAGAAUACAUUAAUAUAAAUGUCAAAUAUGGUUAAAAAAUUUAAAACAACACUAAAGAUUAUACGCUUGAGUAUAUUAACCAUUUACCGAAAAACUGAAUAUUUUGUAGGGGUUGUUAACACACAAAUUUUGAGAAAAUUUCAAAAAAAUGAAAUUUUUUUUAAUGCAUAGUUGUAUCAAGAACUAAUAUAUGAAGAUGGUUAGAGAGGUUUGAAACCUUUGUUGUCUCCAUUUCUCUAGAAUAGCAAUUUUAUUGGGGUUUGUCCACUCAUUUAGGAAGCAUAUAAAGUUUUACUAAAUUAAUUGAUAAAAAAUAGAACGAAGCACAUGUACCAUAAAAAAGAAUUUAGAAUACAUUAAUACAAAUGUAGAAUGUGGUUAUAAAUUAAAAAAAAAAAGACUAAAGAUUAUGGGCUUCAGUACAUUAACCAUUUACCAAAAAACUGAAUAUGUUGUGGGGGUUAACAUAUAGAUUUUGAGAAAAAUUCAAAAUAUAUAAUAAUAUUUUUUUAUGCAUAGUUGUAUCAUGAACUAAUAUAUAAUGAUGGUAUGAGUGGUUUGGCACCUUAGUUAUCUCCGUUUCUCUGGAAUACCAAUUUUAUUGGGGUUUGUCAACUCAUUUAGGGAGCAUAUGAAGUUCUACUAAAUUAAUUGAUAAAAAAAAUAGAACGAUGCCCAUGUACCAUGAAAAAGAAUUUAGAAUAAAUUAAUACAAAUGUAGAACGUGGUUAGAAAUUUAAAAAAAACAGUAAAGAUUAUAGGUUUCAGUACAUUAACCAUUUACCGAAAAACUGAAUAUUGUGUAGGGGUUAACACAUAGAUUUUGAGAAAAUUUCAAAAAAAUGAAAAAAAUGUUUUAAGGCAUAGUUGUAUCAAGAACUAACAUAUGGUGAUGGUUAGAGAGGUUUGAAACCUUUGUUGUCUCUAUUUCUCUAGAAUAACAAUUUUAUUGGGGUUUGUCCACUCAUUUAGGGAGCAUAUGAAGUUUUACUAAAUUAAUAAAUAAAAAAUAAAACGAUGCCCUUGUACCAUGAAAAAAAAUUUAUAAUACAUUAAUAAAAAUUUAGAAUGUGGUUAUAAAUUAAAAAAAACACUAAAGAUUAUAGGCUUCAGAAUAUUAACCAUUUACCGAAUAACUGAAUAUUUUGUAGGGGUUAACACACAAAUUUUGAGAAAAUUUUAAAAAAAUGAAAAUAAUGUUUUAAUGCAUAGUUGUAUCAAGAACUAACAUAUGAUGAUGAUUAGAGAGGUUUGAAACCUUUGUUGUCUCCAUUUCUCUAGAAUAGCAAUUUUAUUGGGGUUUGUCCACUCAUUUAGGGAGCAUAUGAAGUUUUACUAAAAUUAUUGAUAAAAAAUAGAACGAUUCCCAUGUACCAUGAAAAAAAAAUUAUAAUACAUUAAUACAAAUGUAGAUUGUGGUUAUAAAUUAAAAAGAACACUAAAAAUUAUAGGCUUCAGUAUAUUAACCAUUUACCAAAAAACUUAAUAUUUUGUAGGGGUUACACACAAAUUUUGAAAAAAUUUCAAAAAAAUGAAAAUAAUUUAUUAAUGCAUAGUUGUAUCAAGAAUUAACAUAUGAUGAUGGUUAGAGAGGUUUGAAACCUUUGUUGUCUCCAUUUCUCUAGAAUAGCAAUUUUAUUGAGGGUUGUACACUCAUUUAGGGAGCAUAUCAAAUUUUACAAAAUUAACUGAUAAAAAAUAGAACGAUGCCCAUGUACCAUGAAAAAGAAUUUAAAAUACAUUAAUACAAAUGUAGAAUGUGGUUAUAAAUUAAAAAAAAACACUAAAGAUUAUAGGCUUCAGUACAUUAACCAUUUACCAAAAAACUGAAUAUUUUUUAGGGGUUAACACAAAACUUUUGAGAAAAAAUCAAAAUAUAUAACAAUAUUUUUUUAAUGCAUAGUUGUAUCAUGAACUAAUAUAUAAUGAUGGUAUGAGUGGUUUGGCACCUUAGUUAUCUCUGUUUCUCUAGAAUAGCAAUUUUAUUUGGGUUUGUCAACUCAUUUAGGGAUCAUAUGAUGUUCUAUUAAAUUAAUUGAUAAAAAAUAGAACGAAGCCCUUGUACCAUGAAAAAGAAUUUAGAAUACAGUAAUACAAAUGUAGAAUGUGCUUAUAAAUUAAAAAAAAACACUAAAGAUUAUAUGCUUUAGUAUAUUAACCAUUUACCGAAAAUCUGAAUAUUGUGUAGUGGUUAACACAUAGAUUUUGAAAAAAAAUCAUAAUAUAUAACAAUAUAUUUUUAAUGCAUAGUUGUAUCAUGAACUAAUAUAUAAUGAUGGUAUGAGUGGUUUGGUACCUUUUUUAUCUUCGUUUCUCUAGAAUAGCGAUUUUAUUGGGGGUUUCCACUGAAUUAUAGAGCAUAUGAAGUUUUAUUAAAUUAAUUGAUAAAAAAAGAGAUCGAUGCCAUGUACCAUGAAAGAUAGUUUAGAAUACAUUAAUACAAAUGUCGAAUGUGGUUAAAAAAUUUAAAACAACACUAAAGAUUAUAGGCUUGAGUAUAUUAACCAUUUACCGAAAAACUGAAUAUUUUGUAAGGGUUAACACACAAAUUUUGAGAAAAUUUCAAAAAAAUGAAAAAUAUGUUUUAAUGCAUAGUUGUAUCAAGAACUAACAUAUGAUGAUGGUUAGAGAGGUUUGAAACUUUUGUUGUCUCCAUUUCUCUAGAAUAGCAAUUUUAUUGGGGUUUUUUCACUCAUUUAGGGAGCAUAUGAAAUUUUACUAAAUUAAUUGAUAAAAAAUAGAACGAUGCCCAUAUACCAUGAAAAAGAAUUUAGAAUACAUUAAUACAAAUGUAGAAUGUGGUUAUAAAUUAAAAGAAAACACUAAAGAUUAUAUGCUUCAGUAUAUUAACCAUUUACCGAAAAACUGAAUAUUUUGUAGGGGUUAACACACAAAUUUUGAAAAAAUUUCAAAAAAAUGAAAAUAAUGUUUUAAUGCAUAGUUGUAUCGAGAACUAACAUAUGAUGAUGGUUAGAGAGGUUUGAAACCUUUGUUGUCUCCAUUUCUCUAGAAUAGCAAUUUUAUUGGGGUUUGUCCACUCAUUUAGGGAGAAUAUCAAGUUUUACAAAAUUAACUGAUAAAAAAUAGAACGAUGUCCAUGUACCAUGAAAAAGAAUUUAGAAUACAUUAAUACAAAUGUAGAAUGUGAUUAUAAAUUAAACAAAAAAAACACUAAAGAAUAUAUGCUUCAGUAUAUUAACCAUUUACCAAAAAACUGAAUAUUUUGUAGGGGUUAACACAUAGAUUUUGAGAAAACAUUUAAAAUAUAUAACAAUAUUUUUUUAAUGCAUAGUUGUAUCAUGAACUAAUGUAUGAAGAUGGUAUGAGAGGUUUGGUACCUUUGUUAUCUCUGUUUCUCUACAAUAGUGAUUUUAUUGGGGGUGUCCAUUGAUUUAGGGAGCAUAUGAAGUUUUACUAAACUAAUUGAUAAAAAUAGAAUGAUGUCCAUGUACCAUGAAAGAAAGUUUAGAAUACAUUAAUACAAAUGUAGAAUGUCGUUAAAAAUUAAAAAAAAAACACAAAAGAUUAUAGGCUUGAGUACAUUAACCAUUUACCGAAAAACUGAAUAUUGUGUACGGGUUAACACACAAAUUUUGAAAAAAAAUUCAAAAAAAUGAAAAUAAUGUUUUAAUGCAUAUUUGUAUCAAGAAGUAACAUAUGAUGAUGGUUAGAGAGGUUUGAAACCUUUAUUGUCUCCAUUUCUCUAGAAUAGCAAUUUUAUUGGGGUUUGUCCACUCAUUUAGGGAGCAUAUGAAGUUUUACUAAAUUAAUUGAUAAAAAAUAAAACGAUGCCCAUGUACCAUGAAAAAUAAUUUAUAGUACAUUAUUAAAAAUUUAGAAUGUGGUUAUAAAUUAAAAAAAAACACUAAAGAUUAUAGGCUUCAGUAUAUUAACCUUUUACCGAAAAACUGAAUAUUUUGUAGGGGUUAACACACAAAUUUUGAGAAAAUUUCAAAAAAUGAAAAUAAUGUUUUAAUGCAUAGUUGUAUCAAUAACUAACAUAUGAUGAUGGUUAGAGAGGUUUGAAACUUUUGUUGUCUCCAUUUCUCUAGAAUAGCAAUUUUAUUGGAGUUUGUCCACUCAUUUAAGGAGCAUAUGAAGUUUUACUGAAUUAAUUGAUAAAAAAUAGAACGAUGCCCAUGUACCAUGAAAAAAAAUUAUAAUACAUUAAUACAAAUGUCGAUUGUGGUUAUAAAUUAAAAAAAAAGACUAAAGAUUAUAGGCUUCAUUAUAUUAACCAUUUACCAAAAAACUGAAUAUUUUGUAGGGGUUAACACACAAAUUUUGAGAAAAUUUCAAAAAAAUGAAAAUAAUAUUUUAAUGCAUACUUGUAUCAAGAACUAACAUAUGAUGAUGGUUAGAGAGAUUUGAAACCUUUGUUGUCUCAAUUUCUCUAGAAUAGCAAUUUUAUUGGGGUUUAUCCACUCAAUUAGGGAGCAUAUAAAGUUUUACAAAAUUAACUGAUAAAAAAUAGAACGAUGCCCAUGUACCAUGAAAAAUAAUUUAGAAUACAUUAAUACAAAUGUAGAAUGUGGUUACAAAUUAAAAAAAAACACUAAAGAAUAUAUGCUUCAGUAUAUUAACCAUUUACCAAAAAACUGAAUAUUUUGUAGGGGGUUAACACAUAGAUUUUGAGAAAAAAUUGAAAAUAUAUAACAAUAUUUUUUUAAUGCAUAGUUGUAUCAUGAACUAAUGUAUGAUGAUGGUAUGAGAGGUUUGGUACCUUUGUUAUCUCUGUUUCUCUACAAUAGUGAUUUUACUAGGGGUGUCUAUUGAUUUAGGGAGCAUAUGAAGUUUUACUAAACUAAUUGAUAAAAAUAGAAUGAUGUUCAUGUACCAUAAAAUAAAGUUUAGAAUACAUUAAUACAAAUGUGAAAUGUGGUUAAAAAUUAAAAAAAAAAAACACUAAAGAUUAUAUGCUUGAGUAUAUUAACCAUUUACCAAAAAAACUGAAUAUUUCGUAGGGGUUAACACACAAAUUAUGAAAAAAAUUCAAAAAAAUGAAAAUAAUGUUUUAAUGCAUAUCUGUAUCAAGAAGUAACAUAUGAUGAUGGUUAGAGAGGUUUGAAACCUUUGUUGUCUCCAUUUCUCUAGAAUAGCAAUUUUAUUGGGGUUUGUCCACUCAUUUAGAGAGCAUAUGAAGUUUUACUAAAUUAAUUGAUAAAAAAUAGAACGAUGCCCAUGUACCAUGAAAAAAAAUUUAGAAUACAUUAAUACAAAUGUAGAAUGUGGUUAUAAAUUAAAAAAAAACACUAAAGAUUAUAUGCUUCAGUAUAUUAACCAUUUACCGAAAAACUGAAUAUUUCGUAGGGGUUAACACAAAAAUUUUGAGAAAAUUUUUAAAAAAUGAAAAAAAUGUUUUAAUGCAUAGUUGUAUCAAGAGCUAACAUAUGAUGAUGGUUAGAGAGGUUUGAAACCUUUGUUGUCUCAAUUUCCCUAGAAUAGCAAUUUUAUUGGGGUUUGUCCACUCAUUUAAGGAGCAUAUCAAGUUUUACAAAAUUAACUGAUAAAAAAUAGAACGAUGCCCAUGUACCAUGAAAAAGAAUUUAGAAUACAUUAAUACAAAUGUAGAAUGUGGUUAUAAAUUAAAAAAAAACACUAAAGAUUAUAGGUUUCAGUACAUUAACCAUUUACCAAAAAAACUGACUAUUUUGUAGGGGUUAACACAAAACUUUUGAGAAAAAUUCAAAAUAUAUAACAAUAUUUUUUUAAUGCAUAGUUGUAUCAUGAACUAAUAUAUAAUGAUGGUAUGAGUGAUUUGGCACUUUAGUUAUCUCCGUUUCUCUAGAAUAGCAAUUUUAUUGGGGUUUGUCAACUCAUUUAGAGAUCAUAUGAAAUUUUACUAAAUUAAUUGAUAAAAAAUAAAACGAUGCCCUUGUACCAUGAAAAAGAAUUUAGAAUACAGUAAUACAAAUGCAGAAUGUGCUUAUAAAUUUAAAAAAAAAAACACUAAAGAUUAUAUGCUUUAGUAUAUUAACCAUUUACCGAAAAUAUGAAUAUUGUGUAGUGGUUAACACAUAGAUUUUGAAAAAAAAAUCAUAAUAUAUAACAAUAUUUUUUUAAUGCAUAGUUGUAUCAUGAACUAAUAUAUAAUGAUGGUAUGAGUGGUUUGGUACCUUUUUUAUCUUCGUUUCUCUAGAAUAGCGAUUUUAUUGGGGUUUCCAUUGAUUUAUGGAGCAUAUGAAGUUUUAUUAAAUUAAUUGAUAAAAAAAAGAGAACGAUGCCCAUGUACCAUGAAAGAUAGUUUAGAAUACAUUAAUACAAAUGUUGAAUGUGGUUAAAAAAUUUAAAACAGCACUAAAGAUUAUAGGCUUGAGUAUAUUAACCAUUUACCGAAAAACUGAAUAUUUUGUAGGGGUUAACACACAAAUUUUGAGAAAAUUUCAAAAAAAUGAAAAAUAUGUUUUAAUGCAUAGUCGUACCAAGAACUAACAUAUGAUGAUGGUUAGAGAGGUUUGAAACUUUUGUUGUCUCCAUUUCUCUAGAAUAGCAAUUUUAUUGGGGUUUUUCCACUCAUUUAGGGAGCAUAUGAAGUUUUACUAAAUUAAUUGAUAAAAAAUAGAACGAUGCCCAUAUACCAUGAAAAAUAAUUUAGAAUACAUUAAUACAAAUGUAGAAUGUGGUUAUAAAUUAAAAAAAAACACUAAAGAUUAUAUGAUUCAGUAUAUUAACCAUUUACCGAAAAACUGAAUAUUUUGUAGGGGUUAACACACAAAUUUUGAGAAAAUUUCAAGAAAAUGAAAAUAAUGUUUUAAUGCAUAGUUGUAUCGAGAACUAACAUAUGAUGAUGGUUAGAGAGGUUUGAAACCUUUGUUGUCUCCAUUUCUCUAGAAUAGCAAUUUUAUUGGGGUUUGUCCACUCAUUUAGGGAGAAUAUCAAGUUUUACAAAAUUAACUGAUAAAAAAUAGAACGAUGCCCAUGUACCAUGAAAAAGAAUUUAGAAUACAUUAAUACAAAUGUAGAAUGUGGUUAUAAAUUAAAAAAAAAACACUAAAGAAUAUAUGCUUCAGUAUAUUAACCAUUUACCAAAAAACUGAAUAUUUUGUAGGGGUGUCCAUUGAUUUAGAGAGCAUAUGAAGUUUUACAAAACUAAUUGAUAAAAAUAGAAUGAUGUCCAUGUACCAUGAGAGAAAGUUUAGAAUACAUUAAUAAAAAUGUAGAAUGUGGUUAAAAAUUAAAAAAAAAACACUAAAGAUUAUAUGCUUGAGUAUAUUAACCAUUUACCGAAAAACUGAAUAUUUUGUAGGGGUUAGCACACAAAUUUUGAAAAACAUUCAAAAAAAUGAAAAUAAUGUUUUAAUGCAUAUUUGUAUCAAGAACUAAUAUAUGAUGAUGGUUAGAGAGGUUUGAAACCUUUGUUGUCUCUAUUUUUCUAGAAUAUCAAUUUUAUUGGGGUUUGUCCACUCAUUUAGGAAGCAUAUGAAGUUUUACUGAAUUAAUUGAUAAAAAAUAGAACGAUGCCCAUGUGCCAUGAAAAAUAAUUUAUAAUACAUUAAUACAAAUGUAGAUUGUAAUUAUAAAUUAAAAAAAACACUAAAGAUUAUAGGCUUCAGUAUAUUAACCAUUUACUAAAAAACUGAUUAUUUUGUAGGGGUUAGCACAAAAAUUUUGAGAAAAUUUCAAAAAAAUGAAAAUAAUGUUUUAAUACAUAGUUGUAUCAAGAACUAACAUAUGAUGAUGGUUAGAGUGGUUUGAAACCUUUGUUGUCUCCACUUCUCUAGAAUAGCAAUUUUAUUGGGGUUUGUCCACUCAUUUAGGGAGCAUAUCAAGUUUUACUAAAUUAAUUGAUUAAAAGUAGAAUGAUGCCUAUGUACCAUGAAAAAGAAUUUAGAAUACAUUAAUACAAAUGUAGAAUGUUGUUAGAAAUUUUAAAACAACAGUAAAGAUUAUAGCCUUCAGUACAUUAACCAUUUACCAAAAAAAAUUGAAUAUUUUGUAGGGGUUAACAUAAGAUUUUGAAGAAAAUUCAAAAUACAUAACAAUAUUUUUUAAUGCAUAGUUGUAUCAUGAACUAAUAUAUAAUGAUGGUAUGAGUGGUUUGGUACCUUUGUUAUCUUCGUUUCUCUAGAAUAACGAUUUUAUUGGGGGUUUCCACUAAUUUAUGGAACAUAUGAAGUUUUACUAAAUUAAUUUAUAAAAAAAAGAAAGAUGUCCAUGUACCAUGAAAGAGAGUUUAUAAUACAUUAAUAUAAAGGUCGAAUGUGGUUAAAAAAUUUAAAACAGCACUAAAGAUUAUAGGCUUGAGUAUACUAACCAUUUACCGAAAAACUGAAUAUUUUGUAGGGGUUAACACAUAAAUUUUGAGAAAAUUUCAAAAAAAUGAAAAAAAUGUUUUAAUGCAUAGUUGUAUCAAGAACUAACAUAUGAAGAUGGUUAGAGAGGUUUGAAACCUUUGUUGUCUCCAUUUCUCUAGAAUAGCAAUUUUAUUGGGGUUUGUCCACUCAUUUAGGGAUCAUAUGAAGUUUUACUAAAUUAAUUGAUAAAAAGUAGAAUGAUGCCUAUGUACCAUGAAAAAGAAUUUAGAAUACAUUAAUACAAAUGUAGAAUGUGGUUAGAAAUUUUAAAACAACAGUAAAGAUUAUAGGCUUCGGUACAUUAACCAUUUACCAAAAAAAUAAAUAUUUUGUAGGGGUUAAUACAUAGAUUUUGAAAAAAAUUCAAAAUACAUAACAAUAUUUUUUUAAUGCAUAGUUGUAUCAUGAACUAAUAUAUAAUGAUGGUAUGAGCGGUUUGGUACAUUUGUUAUCUCCGUUUCUCUAGAAUAGCGAUUUUAUUGGGGGUUUCCACUAAUUUAUGGAACAUAUGAAGUUUUACUAAAUUAAUUGAUAAAAAAAAGAACGAUGCACAUGUACCAUGAAAGAGAGUUUAGAAUACAUUAAUAUAAAUGUCGAAUGUGGUUAAAAAAUUUAAAACAACACUAAAGAUUAUAGGCUUGAGUAUAUUAACCAUUUACCGAAAAACUGAAUAUUUUGUAGGGGUUGUUAACACACAAAUUUUGAGAAAAUUUCAAAAAAAUGAAAAAAAUGUUUUAAUGCAUAGUUGUAUCAAGACCUAACAUAUGAAGAUGGUUAGAGAGGUUUGAAACCUUUGUUGUCUUCAUUUCUCUAGAAUAGCAAUUUUAUUGGGGUUUGUCCACUCAUUUAGGAAGCAUAUGAAGUUUUACUAAAUUAAUUGAUAAAAGAAUGAACGAUGCCCAUGUACCAUAAAAAAGAAUUUAUAAUACAUUAAUAAAAAUUUAGAAUGUGGUUAUAAAUUAAAAAAAAACACUAAAAAAUAUAUGCUUGAGUAUAUUAACCGUAUACCGAAAAACUGAAUAUUUUGUAGGGGUUAACACACAAAUUUUGAGAACAUUUCAAAAAAAUGAAAAUAAUGUUUUAAUGCAUAGUUGUAUCAAGAAGUAACAUAUGAUGAUGGUUAGAGAGGUUUGAAACCUUUGUUGUCUCCAUUUCUCUAGAAUAGCAAUUUUAUUGGGGUUUAUCCACUCAUUUAGGGAGCAUAUCAAGUUUUACAAAAUUAAUUGAUAAAAAAUAGAACGAUGCACAUGUACCGUGAAAAAGAAUUUAGAAUACAUUACUACAAAUGUAGAAUGUAGUUAUAAAUUAAAAAAAAAACUGUAAAGAUUAUAGGAUUCAGUCCAUUAACCAUUUACCAAAAAACUGAAUAUUUUAAAGGGGUUAACAUAUAGCUUUUGAGAAAAUUUCAAAAUAUAUAAUAAUAUUUUUUUAAUGCAUAGUUGUAUCAUGAACUAAUAUAUAAUGAUAGUAUGAGUGGUUUUGCACCUUAGUUAUCUCUGUUUCUCUGGAAUAGCAAUUUUAUUGGGGUUUGUCAACUCAUUUAGGGAGCAUAUAAAGUUCUACUAAAUUAAUUGAUAAAAAAAAUAGAACGAUGCCCAUGUACCAUGAAAAAGAAAUAGAAUAAAUUAAUACUAAUGUAGAAUAUGGUUAGAAAUUUUAAAACAACAGUAAAGAUUAUAGGCUUCUGUACAUUAACCAUUUACCGAAAAUCUGAAUAUUGUGUAAGGGUUAACACAUAGAUUUUGAGAAAAUUUCAAAAAAAUGAAAAAAAUGUUUUAAUGCAUAGUUGUAUCAAGAACUAACAUAUGGUGAUGGUUAGAGAGGUUUGAAACCUUUGUUGUCUCCAUUUCUCUAGAAUAGCAAUUUUAUUGGGGUUUGUCCACUCAUUUAGGGAGCAUAUGAAGUUUUACUAAAUUUAUUGAUAAAAAAUAAAACGAUGCCCAUGUACCAUGAAAAAGAAUUUAUAGUACAUUAAUAAAAAUUUAGAAUGUGGUUAUAAAUUAAAAAAAAAACACUAAAGAUUAUAGGCUUCAGUAUAUUAACCUUUUACCGAAAAACUGAAUAUUUUGUAGGGGUUAACACACAAAUUUUGAGAAAAUUUCAAAAAAAUGAAAAUAAUGUUUGAAUGCAUAGUUGUAUCAAGAACUAACAUAUGAUGAUGGUUAGAGAGGUUUGAAACUUUUAUUGUCUCCAUUUCUCUAGAAUAGCAAUUUUAUUGGGGUUUGUCCACUCUUUUAAGGAGCAUAUGAAAUUUUACUGAAUUAAUUGAUAAAAAAUAGAACGAUGCCCAUGUACCAUGAAAAAGAAUUUAUAAUACAUUAAUACAAAUGUCGAUUGUGGUUAUAAAUUAAAAAAAAAAACACUAAAGAUUAUAGGCUUCAUUAUAUUAACCAUUUACCAAAAAAAACUGAAUAUUUUGUAGGGGUUAACACACAAAUUUUGAGAAAAUUUCAAAAAAAUGAAAAUAAUGUUUUAAUGCAUAGCUGUAUCAAGAACUAACAUAUGAUGAUGGUUAGAGAGGUUUGAAACUUUUAUUGUCUCCAUUUCUCUAGAAUAGCAAUUUUAUUGGGGUUUGUCCACUCUUUUAAGGAGCAUAUGAAGUUUUACUGAAUUAAUUGAUAAAAAAUAGAACGAUGCCCAUGUACCAUGAAAAAGAAUUUAUAAUACAUUAAUACAAAUGUCGAUUGUGGUUAUAAAUUAAAAAAAAAACACUAAAGAUUAUAGGUUUCAUUAUAUUAACCAUUUACCAAAAAACUGAAUAUUUUGUAGGGGUUAACACACAAAUUUUGAGAAAAUUUCAAAAAAAUGAAAAUAAUGUUUUAAUGCAUAUUUGUAUCAAGAAAGAACAUAUGAUGAUGGUUAUAGAGGUUUGAAACCUUUGUUGUCUCAAUUUCUCUAGAAUAGCAAUUUUAUUGGGGUUUGUCCACUCAUUUAGGGAGCAUAUCAAGUUUUACAAAAUUAACUUAUAAAAAAUAGAACGAUGCCCAUGUACCAUGAAAAAUAAUUUAGAAUACAUUAAUACAAAUGUAGAAUGUGGUUAUAAAUUUAAAAAAAAAACACUAAAGAAUAUAUGCUUCAGUAUAUUAACCAUUUACAGAAAAACUGAAUAUUUUGUAGGGGGGUUAACACAUAGAUUUUGAGAAAAAAUUGAAAAUAUAUAACAAUAUUUUUUUAAUGCAUAGUUGUAUCAUGAACUAAUGUAUGAUGAUGGUAUGAGAGGUUUGGUACCUUUGUUAUCUCUGUUUCUCUACAAUAGUGAUUUUACUAGGGGUGUCCAUUGAUUUAGGGAGCAUAUGAAGUUUUACUAAACUAAUUGAUAAAAAUAGAAUGAUGUCCAUGUACCAUAAAAGAAAGUUUAGAAUACAUUAAUACAAAUGUGAAAUGUGGUUAAAAAAUUUAAAAAAAAACACUAAAGAUUAUAUGCUUGAGUAUAUUAACCAUUUACCAAAAAAACUGAAUGUUUUGUAGGGGUUAACACAUAGAUUUUGAGAAAAAAUUGAAAAUAUAUAACAAUAUUUUUUUAAUGCAUAAUUGUAUCAUGAACUAAUAUAUAAUGAUGGUAUGAGUGGUUUGGUACCUUAGUUAUCUCCGUUUCUUUAAAAUAGCAAUUUUAUUGGGGUUUGUCAACUCAUUUAGGGAGCAUAUGAAGUUAUACUAUAUUAAUUGAUAAAAAAUAGAACGAUGUCCAUGUACCAUGAAUAAUAAUUUAGAAUACAUUAAUACAAAUGUAGAAUGUGGUUAGAAAUUUUAAAACAACAGUAAAGAUUAUAGGCUUCAGUACCUUAACCAUUUACCAAAAAAACUGAAUAUUUUGUAGGGGUUAACACAUAGAUUUUGAGAAAAAUUCAAAAUAUAUAACAAUAUUUUUUUAAUGCAUAGUUGUAUCAUGAAAUAAAAUAUAAUGAUGGUAUGAGUGGUUUGGUACCUUUGUUAUCUCCGUUUCUCUAGAAUAGCGAUUUUAUUGGAGGUUUCCACUAAUUUAUGGAGCAUAUGAAGUUUUACUAAAUUAAUUGAUAAAAAAGAGAACGAUGCCCAUGUACCAUGAAAGAGAGUUUCGAAUACAUUAAUAUAAAUUUCGAAUGUGGUUAAAAAAUUUAAAACAGCACUAAAAAUUAUAGGCUUGAGUAUAAUAACCAUUUACCGAAAAGCAGAAUAUUUUGUAGGGGUUAACACACAAAUUUUGAGAAAAUUUCAAAAAAAUAAAAAAAAAAUUUAACACAUAGUUGUAUCAAGAACUAACAUAUAAUGAUGGUUGGAGAGGUUUGAAACCUUUGUUGUCUCCAUUUCUCUAGAAUAGCAAUUUUAUUGGGGUUUGUCCACUCAUUUAGGGAGCAUAUAAAAUUUUAUUAAAUUAAUUAAUAAAAAUUCGAAUGAUGCCCAUGUACCAUGAAAAAUAAUUUAAAAUACAUUAAUACAAAUGUAGAAUGUGGUUAGAAAUUUUAAAAUAACAGUAAAGAUUAUAGGCUUCAGUAUCUUAACCAUUUACCAAAAAAACUGAAUAUUUUGCAGGGGUUAACAUAUAGAUUUUGAGAAAAAUUCAAAAUAUAUAACAAUAUUUUUUUAAUGCAUAGUUGUAUCAUGAACUAAUAUAUAAUGAUGGUAUGAGAGGUUUGGUACUUUUGUUAUCUCCGUUUCUCUGGAAUAGUGAUUUUAUUGAGGGUUUCCAUUGAUUUAGGGAGCAUAUGAAGUUUUACUAAAUUAAUUGUUAAAAAAUAAAACGAUGUCCAUGUACUAUGAAAGAGAGUUUAAAAUAAAUUAAUACAAAUAUAGAUUAUGGUUAUAAAUUAAAAAAAAAAACACUGAAGAUUAUAUGCUUCAGUAUAUUAACCAUUUACCAAAAAACUGAAAAUUUUGUAUGGGUUACACACAAAUUUUGAGAAAAUUUCAAAAAAAUGAAAAUAAUGUUUUAUUGCAUAGUUGUAUCAAGAACUAACAUAUCAUGAUGGUUAGAGAGGUUUGAAACUUUUGUUGUCUCCAUUUCUCUAGAAUAGCAAUUUUAUUGGGGUUUGUCCACUCAUUUAGGGAGCAUAUGAAGUUUUACUGAAUUAAUUGAUAAAAAAUAGAAUGAUGCUCAUGUACCUUGAAAGAGAGUUUAAAAUACAUUAAUACAAAUGUAGAAUAUGGCUAUAAAUUAUAAACAAACACUAAAGAUUAUAUGCUUCAGUAUAUUAACCAUUUACCGAAAAACUGAAUAUUUUGUGGGGGUGUUAACACACAAAUUUUGAGAAAAAUUUCAAAAACAUGAAAAUAAUUUUUUAAUGCAUAGUUGUAUCAAGAACUAACAUAUGAUGAUUGUUAGAGAGGUUUGAAACCUUUGUUAUCUCCAUUUCUCUAGAAUAUCAAUUUUAUUGGGGUUUGUCCACUCAUUUAGGGAGCAUAUGAAGUUUUACUGAAUUAAUUGAUAAAAAAUAGAAUGUUGCCCAUGUACCAUGAAAAAGAAUUUAUAAUACAUUAAUACAAAUGUAGAAUGUGGUAUUAAAAAACACUAAAGAUUAUAGGCUUCAUAACAUUAACCAUUUACCAAAAAACUGAAUAUUUUGUAGGGGUUAAAACAUAGGUUUUGAAAAGAAUUCAAAAUAUAUAAUAAUAUUUUUUAAUGCAUAGUUGUAUCAUGAACUAAUAUAUAAUGAUGGUAUGAGUGGUUUAGUACCUUCGUUAUCUCCGUUUCUCUAGAAUAUCAAUUUUAUUGGGGUUUGUCAACUCAUUUAGGAAGCAUACGAAGUUUUAUUAAAUUAAUUGAUAAAAAAUAGAACGAUGACAUUUACCAUGAAAAAGAAUUUAGAAUACAUUAAUACAAAUGUAGAAUGUGCUUAUAAAUUUAAAAAAAAAACACUAAAAAUUAUAUGCUUCAGUAUAUUAACCAUUUACAGAAAAACUGAAUGUUUUGUAGGGGUUAACACAUAGAUUUUGAGAAAAAUUCAAAAAAUAUGUCAAUAUUGUUUUAAUGCAUAGUUGUAUCAUGAAAUAACAUAUGAUGAUGGUCAAAGAGGUUUGAAACUUUUUUUUGUCUCCGUUUCUCUAGAAUAACGAUUUUAUUGUGGUUUGUGAACUAAUUUAGGGAGUAUAUGAAGUUUUACUGAAAUAAUUGAUAAUAAAUAGAACGAUUCUCAUGUACCAUUAAAGAAAGUUUAGAAUACACUAACACAAAUUUAAAAUGUGGUUAAAAAUUGUAAAACAACACUAAAGACUAUAAGCUUCAAUAUAUUAACCAUUUACCCAAAAAUUAAAUAUUUUAUAGGGGUUAAACACAUAGAUUUUGAGAAGAAAAAAAUGACAAUAAAGUUUUAAUGCAUAAUUUUAUCAUGAACUAACAUAUGAUGAUGGUCAGAGAGGUUUGGAACCUUUGUUGUCUCUGUUUCUAUAAAAUAACAAUUUUAUCGUGGUUUGUCAACUAAUCUAGAGAGCAUAGGAAGUUUUACCAAAUUAAUUGAUAAAAAAAUAAAACUAUGUCCAUGUACCGCGAAAGAGAGUUUAGAAUACAUUAAUACAAAUGUAGAAUGUGGUUAGAUAUUUAAAAUAACACUAAAUAUUAUAAGCUUCACUAUAUUAACCAUUUACCAAAAAACUGAAUAUUUUGUAGGGAGCAUAUGUAGUUUUACUUUAUUAAUUGAUUAAAAAAAUAGAACGAUGUUCAUGUACUAUUAAAGAGAGUUUAGAAUACAUUAAUACAAAUGUGGAGUGUGGUUAUACAUUUUAAAACAACACUAAAUAUUAUAGGUUUCAGUAUAUUAACUAUUUACCGAAAAAGUGAAUAUUUUGUAAGGGUUAACACUUAGAUUUUGAGAAAACUUAAAAAAAUACAACAAUAUUUUUUAAUGCAUAGUUGUAUCAUGAACUAACAUAUGAUGAUGGUCCGAGAGGUUUGGAACCUUUAUUGUCUUCGUUUCUCUAGAAUAACGAUUUUAUUAUUGUUUGUUAACUGAUUUGGGGAGCAUAUGAAGUUUUACUAAAUUGGUUGAUAAAAAAUAGAACAAUGGCUAUGUAACAUGAAAAUAGUUUAGAAUAAAUUAAUAAAAAUGUAGAAUGUGGUUAGAAAUUUUAAAACAAUACUAAAGAUUAUAAGUUUCAAUAUAUUAACCAUUUACCGAAAAAUGAAUAUUUUAUAGGAGUUAACACAUAGAUUUUAAAAAUAAUUAAAAAAAUAUGACAAUAUUCUUUUAAUAAAUAGUUUUAUAAGAUACGAUGAUGGAUGGUCAAAAGAGGUUUUAGAAGAGAAUAGAUAAGUAGUGUGUAAAAUAAAAAGGGCCUAAGUUGAAAGAUUUUAGAUCAAUGGAAACGAAAUAGAAUUUCCCAUGUGUAAAGGCCCACACAAAGAGCCCCACGUGAAAACCGGGUUUGGACUAGCAUCGUCGGUUUAGGUUCGAUUCGAUUCGGGUUAAUUCUCUUCUUUCACUCAAGACUCACUCUCUCUUCGCUCUUUCCACUAUUAUAUCAUCCGUGGCUAUGAAAGAGCAGAACAAACGAUGUAGUGCAUGCACCCAUCCCGUUGGUCUCCUGUCCUUUUAUGGAUGUACGGAGUGUGAUUUUUCGCUCCAUCAGAAAUGUGCUGAAUGUCCUACAAGGAAAUGGCAUGUGCUACACAAUGAACGACUCACUUUAGUUACAAACAAGGAGCUAGAGGUCUUCGAUUGUUAUGCUUGCAAGCGAAAUUCCAAUGGUUUCAUGUACAAGCAUGGGACGAAGAAGUUGGAUGUCUUGUGCGGUUCAAUUUCUGAGCCAUUUACCCAUCCAAGUCAUCCCCACCAUCCCUUAUAUUACACUCUAAUAGAAAAAGAGGAACUAUGCAAUGGUUGCAACGGACGGGAAUAUUUUAUCCUCAAGUGCAUUGAAGGUUUCACAUGCGCCACUCUACCACAAGUGGUAAAUCACAGAGUAGACGAUCAUCCUCUCUCACUAUGCUAUGGCGAAGAAGAAGAGGCAAGUGGUAAAUAUUGGCCUGACAUUUGUGAGAGAGAAACCAAUCCAAACAACUGGUUCUACGCGUGUAAAAAUCACCUGGCCUGUUUGCAUAUAAAGUGUGUGCUCGGAGACUCUUCAGGGUUCAUGCCAAGUAGCGUAGCAACGUUUUGGACCAGAUCGUUUGAGGUGGUGCUCAAUGAUAGUGUAACUCUCCCAUUUUGCAGCCGGUGUAAGUCUCGUUGCAUGUACCCUAUCAACCUCAAGUUACUUGGAAGAUCAAGUACAUACAUUUGCUCAAUUAAUUGCGCAUCUCAUUGGAGAGGCACAACGAUAUGAAUCGUCAGAACUAUGAAGUGUAGUGAAGUACGUCAUGGAAUUAUUCGUUUUAGUUUUUAUAUUCUUCCUUGUUCAAGUUCACUUUCAUUAUGAGUUGAUCUCUCUAAUGUACUUAUUUUAUUUGUAUGGUGACGGAUAUUCCAAGUAGCGCCAAAGUCUUCAUAUGGUUCAACUUGUAUCAAAAAGUCAAAAGGGGACACUCCAUAAUGUAACUAACCUCCAUAGUUUAGUUUAGAUUAAGAUAAUAAGAUUUUAGUACCUGUCUCAAUAACUAAAAAUCAUCAUGUAACUAGGUUUCAUAAUACAAAAACAUUCAAGAGAAUGACUCCUAAACGACAAUCUCAAUAUCCCCUUUCCCUCGAACCUCACCUCACCUCACCUCCUACCUUUGUUUGCUUUAAAUAUGUUUUCUUUGUAGUACUUAAGCUCCUUGAUGCUUUCUCUUAUAUCAUCCAUGGCUCUGUGAUUGUUUUUCUUUGCAGGAGCUCUGUUUUUUUCUAAUGCUCAACAAACCAAACAAGUAUCAUUGUCAUACACAAGGCAACUUUUAUGUUUUCAAAUAAUUUUUUCUUUUAAAUAUUUGUUUUUACCUCUGGGAAACCAUCGGGUGCAUAAAGACUUGACACUACUGACAUCGACAAGCACAUGAGGGAAAAGAGCAGCCAAAUCUGGCAUGUACUUCUGUAAACACACACACAUUAUAUAUUGGUUACAAUCAUCAACAUGCAAUUGUUCAGAUUACAAUCAAAACUUUCGAGAUACCUUUAAGAAAAGGAAAUCCACGUAGAUAGAGUUCCCAGCUAAUUGUGGAUUUUCAUUACCAACAUGCUUUUUCACAAAUUUGAUGACCUGUAAACAAAACCAGAAUAAACUAAUUAACAAUAAAUGUCAACAAUGUUUUUGCUCAAGAUUAUCUAAAAAUACCUCUUGUUCAGCUUGCCUUUCACUUAUAGUACUAGAGAGAACUUUCUUUGUCAAACCUAAAUCAGACAGAAUCCAUGAGAAACAGAUAAAAUGUAGAAUGCGACUAAUAUCUUGAGAGAGAAAGAGAGAGAAGCUUACCACUGUCUCCAUGAUGAGUUUGACACCAAUCACCCAUUUUAUCCAUGCAGUCUUUCGUUUGAUGUACAACUAAAUCUGGACCCUAAACUCAGUAGACAAACGUUUUCAAUAACAAAAGUCAAAACAAAUUUUGCGUGGAAGAGCUAAUUGAGCCAUAUGAGAAAAAUGAGCUAUGUAAUAACUUAUGAUAAGAAAAAAAACAGUAAUUAUCAUAUUACACACUGAUUAAGGUAUAAAUCCAUAUACCAUGAUAGUUUAAACAAUUUAUUCAAAGGGAGAAACUUAGGCUAUUUCAAGAAGGUAAGAAAUAGGUAGAAGAAGAAUAUAUAUACCUCCACUGAUUUGGUUAAUUGUCCAUCAGUAAUUAUACAAGCAAUCUCCAGUAUCCUGUCAUCUUCAACAUUAAGACCUACACAUUAUUACAAUAUAGAGUAAGAAUAUUAAAAAUAUUGAUGAUCCAAAAUACAGUCAAGGCUUAAUAAAUCUUACUAUACAUCUUAGUAGAGCUGGCAUUAGUGUUGUUAUGAUGCAUACAAGAAUAUAAAAACUCUAUGUAAAUGGUGAAUGUGAGAGGUAGCUCAAAAAACAUUAAACAUAUAAGGGAGACAAACAAUGGAUCAUAUUGUUGAAGAUGAAGCUAAAUUAAAUAAAAAGGGAAUCUAUAAAAUAUAGAAUUAAGGACAAGAAACAAGAUGGAAACAUACAUACCAGUCAUCUCCAAGUCAAUCCAGACAAGUGGUUGCUUAUAGUUUCCGACAUCCUCCUCUACUACUCUUUCUCCUUGUUUUCCUAUUUAAAAAAAAAAAGAGAAUUGACACAUGGAUCGAUAUUUAAAACUGAAAGGAUGAAUCUUUCUUCAUAGGAAGAUUACCAGCGGAGGAGGAGGACGAGGGGAGACCAUCUUCGUCGUCGGCGAGAGCAAGGAGAGAGAAAGCAUUGGAGAGCUGAUUCUCCAUUUAUAAAAAAAAAACAAUUUUGGGAGAGCGUUAGACCCGACCUAAAGGAGCAUCCCCGUGUCGGAAAGCAAAAAAGAAAAAAUUAUGAUUCGGUUAUUCCUGGUUUAGCAAAACCGAUUCAGUUUAGUUGAAGUGUGGGCCAUAUAGCUUAGUUUAUUUCUUUGCAUGUCAAAAAAUGAUUUCCUUGUGAACUCAAUUUCGUCAAAAAUGAAUUAAUCAUAAUGAUUAUCAGAAUACAUGAUCUGUUGAUUAGUGGGGUUUUCCCAGCGUGAAUUCUAAAGUUUAUAUAUAAGUAUCCAAUUAGCAGUUAGAAAGGAUGAAAGAAUUGAAACGGAAAUUCUAUCUCCGGUGGUAAAGGGUUUACAGUUGUGAGUACCGUCACCUGGAUUUGAAUUCCGGUCACUGGGGAAUUAACAUUUCGACAUCGUCAAGGACAGAGGACCGACACGUGACAACACGUGACUAGUCUGGAUCACUUCUAUGGGACCAGGAUACCUCUGUAUAAUUCAAAAAAAAAAGAAGAAAGAAUUGUAUAAGAUCCCCGAUAAACUAACAAUAAUAUCAGGUUCGUAUUAUCUGACUGAAUUUAUUUUUAAUAGGGCGUGUGUUUAUAAUUUUGAAUCAUCCAAACUUGAUGAGCCCGGGUUGUUAUUUGGUUUUAUUAAUUUUGGGAUUAUAAUAGAAUCUCUAUAAAUUAAUACUCGAUAAAUUAAUAAUCUCUAUAAAUUAAUAAAUUUAGUUGGUCCCAACUUGGACCGGUUCAAAAUUUGACACAAAUCGAUAAAAUAGUAAGAUAAUAUUUUUUUUAGAAAAUUUUAUGUAAAUAUAUGGCCCCAUUAAAAUUAUAAAUUAAUAAUUUAUAUGUAUAAAUAUUUUAUAUAAGUAAAAACCAAUUAUUACAUUAUUUGUUUUAUAUUCACAAUGGAAUUAUCUUUAUAUUUUUCUUAACAUUUAAUAUAUUUUUUUUAUGAGAUUCAGUAAUAUUAUAUCUAAAAUUAUAUUUAAGUUCUAUGCAAUAUAUUAUGUACACCAAAUAAUAUAAUAAAAUUAAUAUAAAUGUUAAAUUUCAAAAAAAAAAUAACAAUAUAAAUGUCUAUACACUAAAAUCAAAUAUUUUUCUUAUUUUAGAAUAAAUAUAUCUUAAAAUAAAAAAAUCUAAAUAACAAAUUUUUUUUAAAUUAAUAUCUCUGUAAAUUAAUAAAAUUUUAAAGUUCCAACAUUGUUAAUUUAUAGAGGUUUUACUAUAUGUUUGUUAAUUUGGCGAAGUUAGAGCAUCUCCAAGAGAGAAGAUAUUUAUUUAGCGUAUCUUAGCCAUAAAAGAUUUUUAAAAAAAUUAGAAGAGAGAUACCAUAGUAUCUCAAACAAAACAUUCUUAGAAUUUCACAAGAACUUUUUAUACCAUAUGUUUGAUUGUAAGUGGUUCGACUUUUUAAAACAAAUUAAUAAAACAAAAUUCAUUACUUCAAAGGAAAUACUAACCAGUCUCAUGGGUGAUCCAAGUUUGAACCAGGAACUAAACAAUUUCACGGGCCCAUAUAUCUGCAUCUGACUCAACCACCGGGAAAGCAAUUACAUAUCUAAUGAGCUUCAUGGCGAGAGAGAGGAAGGUCAGAUGGAAGAGAAGAAAUCUUAGGGCUUUGAGGGAGAGAGAGAGAUCUCGAAAGAGAGCAGUAGGAGGCAAAACAAAAUGUUUUCAAGAAAAUUAAAAGAGUCUGUUUAACACCGAGGGUCGUCUCUUUCAUUUCUUCCAAUAUUUGAAUCCUAAAGAGUAUAAUUAGCGACUAUAAGGUUUUUUUUUUGUUCAAAUGAAUAUAACGUUAUAUAUGGAUUUUCAUGAUGUUAUUUGUGUGAUAUUGUUAGAUAUAGAUUCUCAUUUUUGGUGAAAUCGUUGCUAUAAUCAAGUCUUAUAUUACUAUUCCUAAGCCAGUUCAGCAGCUUUUUGCUCAAUUUCUUAAAUUUCUUAAUCUGAAUAAUAAUAAAUAUAAAGAGAUUUGCAAAUUGAAAAUUAUCACAUUAUGAAUAUUCACAGUCACAAACGGGUUGAUCUUAUUUUUGGUUAUUAUUACUAACCCAAUGGUAACAAAACAGACACGACAUGAGAAUCUUUCCUUUUCUUUUUAUUUGACUCUACUUCUUCGCAUUAAUGAGUACAAUUGGUCAACGGCACCAAGGUCAGGUCAUUAAUAAGUCCAUUCCUCCGGGAGAAGUUUCUCCAGCGAAUCAAAGGGAGUUUCCACCGUUUCGCUCUUCUUCUCCUUCUUCUUCGAAUCAUCUUCACGAAUUUCUACAUUGAAAUAGAAUUGAAAUAGAUUUUUUUAACAUGAUGUAUUCAAAUAGGUCAAACAAAUAAAAAGAAGGGAAAAUAAUUUAUUUUUUUGUCAUAAACAAACUGUAACAGCAAAACUGAAAACAUUAUGCACAUCUUUCAUUCAUAAGAAAAUAACCUGUCUUUUUGGUUGGCGGAUGCGAAGCGAUUCUGGGAAAAUAUACUCCAGUGCCAGAAGAUGCACGGCCCAAGGGAAAUGCUGGCAUUCGGUCCUCUCCUUUACUCAUUUGCCAAUUGUUUUGCUGCAUUUGCCUUGUAUUAUAGUUCUUCAUAACACAAAAAUACAUAAUACCAUUAGUUUUGAGUUUUUAAAAUAUUCACAAGAAAAAAUGUAACACAAAUUACAUUUGCAACUAAAGUAUAUAAAGAGCGUAGCCAGGCCGAACUUAAGCUUAAAAUCAUGAAGCUAAUGUUGUAAACGCCAAACGGUAUAAUAAAUUUUAAGGACUUUAGUUUUAUAAAAUCAUGAAGCUAAUGUUAUUGGACUCUACUAUUUCUAUCUUAGAAAUGGAGGAUACAAUACACAAAGUCACAUUUUAUAGGGGCAUGCAAUCGCCUUAUGCAUCAUAAUUUGACGGACUAGCGAUAUUUUCCUCUAAUCCAUAAAAGAUUGAAAUAAACAAUGUAUAAAAAUAUUGAAAAAAUCCUUAAAUUACCAAAUCUCUGAGAGGAGGUGCACCGGGUCGACGUAAUCCACCGCUGCCGAGGUGAUUGUGGUUCUUGACAGGAACCGACUUCUGCAACUGUAUUGGAGAAAAGAAGUUAAUGACGCUUUAUUUAUACAAAAUGAGAUCAAACUAACAUGACAUAAUCGAUUAGAAAAAAACUAAGAUAUGUGAUGAUAUAAACCUGAUGCUUGUGACCCAUAGUAUCUCCCAUUUUAAUCUUCGAUGAAGAAGAAAAGGACUAAAAGACGGGAGAAGAGAUUUGAUUUUGCCCAACUUCUAACCUGAAACUUAACUAUAUAUAUAUUAGUCACGAUGAGUUUGUAAAGUAAGGGAGAAGAGAUGACGAUAAAUUGUUUGGAAUGCUAAUUAUUAUUUCUUCAGAUUAUAUUAUAAGAUUUUUAAUGCCUCCAUUUAUUGUUUUUUUUUGUUUUUACUGAAAAUUACAUUUUUUUUGACAACAGAAAAAGGAAAAUUAUGAUUUGACUAUUUGGCUUCUUGACUUCAUUAUUAGGAGGAUGGAAUGAGAGUUACGUACCCUUUCAUUUCAAAUUUUCAAAACAAAACAAAAUAGUCAUAUAGUUUUACAUUAUAGAAAGUUUCUUGGUCAAUUAUUCCCUUAAACCGCAUGGUAAUCAUGUUGUAACGUUAACAUUAAUGGAACAUACUUGACUACUUUUCAUAUGACUUUUGACUACUAAAUUUUUUUAUCUUUACCUAUGACUCACACCAUUCAUAUGAAAGGCAUAGUAAUUAUAUGGUAACAUCAAUGUUAAUAAAAUCACCAUCUGUAACUUUUUACCUUAAAAUAUUCAGAAGUAUUUUAUAUAUAUUGUUUUGUUUAUCUGCAGAUAAAUUAGUAAUUUCAGUUGACAAAAUAAAAUUAUAUAGUUUAUAAGAAAGAUCAAGGAGAUCAUGUUGGGGGAGUGGGAUGAGUUGUAUUUGGGUAAACGCCUCUCUAAUAUUUAAUCACAUUGUUAUAUUUAAUGAUAUAGUUUAAGUUGUUCCGUACAAAUACCAUAACGGCUGUAAGUAAAGAAGGGCUUUACAUAAACUACAAAUUCGAAUUUCAUAGUUUGUUUUGUAACUUUGUUUUUCUUGCUAUAAACCAAUUCUACAGAGAACCUGUUAAAAACGUAUUUAAAUCCAAAACAAUAUUGCAACUAAUAUUCAGUGAGUAUAUCACCACACUUGUAACUUUUACAUUUAAAUUCCAACCAAGUUUUUGUUUAGUAAAGAAAAAUAUAUGAAUGUAUAAUAUUAGAUUUCUAUCUUUUUGUUUGCUUAGCUUUUUUUUCUUGUUAAUUUCAUCAUCGGAUUUCUUAUGAUUACUAACUAAAUAUGUCGUCUUGAUCUAAAAUUUAUAUAAAAAAAUAUGACAAACAAAAACAUUGAGAUGAUAUAAAUCAUAUCCAACCUUUUAUGGCAAAAAUGUAUUUAAAACUUUUUUUAAUCUAUAGUCGUCUACUAUCCCUGAUAUUGAAAGGGAGAGAAAAAAAAUGAUCAACGGUGCCAGUUCUUCUUAACAACCUUCACCAACCAACCCAAGUUAGAAAUUUUUGUGGUUAGAUUUUAUUAGUUUAUCUUAUUCUUACCCCAAGUGGGCUCAAUAUCAAAUUGUAAUCGUGAGAUUACGUGACCCUAUCUAGCAGAAAAUUUAGCGAGGCAUUAUUAGCAUAGACCAAACAUAGUUUUACAAUUAACAAUGUACUCAAAUUUAAAUAAAACGAAGAAUAAGAUCCCAACACAUCCAAGGUUUUAUGAAAACCUAAAUGUAGUUCACCUACGAGCUUGAAAAAGCUAGAAUGUCAUGUAAUACUUGGUGAAUAAUAGAGAACCGUGAAUAGGAUUGGAAAGCAGGUCAAACUCGCCCCACCACGGAUGAAGUAGUUAUUUUAAUUAUAUUUACUUAUUUUUAAAUAAUAAUAAAAGUUAUUUAUAAUUAAAAUAAUAUAAAUAUUUUAAUAAAAUUAGUUCAUUUUAAAUUACAUCUAACAAAUACCCAAUCCAAUAACAAUGAAUUCCACUUUAAAUUUAAAUUUAAAUUUAAAUUCCAUUAAAUUUCAUUGAACUCAUUAGUUCAAUAACAUCUCCUUAGGUUCCGUAAGAUUAUUAGUAGCCUAAACAAAUCGCAUCUCCUUAAGAUCCAUAAUAUCAUCCAGUCACAUACCCAAAUUUCUUCUCCUUCGGAUCCAUUUAUUUUAUUCACGAAACUUUAUUAGAUGUUACCUAUACAAAUCACAUUAGUUUUACUUUCUGCGUUUUAAAAUAAUGUACAUUUUGAAGUUUUUAUAUUUAUUAAGAAACACAUUAAAAUUCUGAUUAUAAAUGCAUUAUUUUGUAUGAUUAACUAUUUUGCACAACUAGACAAAAAUUAUGUUUAUAAAUGCAUUAUAAAUUAUUUUGUAGACAAAAAAAAUAAAAAAAUACAAUUACGUUUUUCUAAAUUUACAAUUUUUCAUUAUUACCUAAUCAAAUAUGCAUUGAAAUGUAAAAAAAAAUUAUUUUUGAAAUAAUAAUUUCUAUAACAUUGGUCAUUUUAAACCAGAUGGAGUAUCUGUUUUUGAUAGUUUUAAUUUAACUAUCACUUCAUGGAUUUAGGAUCAAUCAUCAUUUCUCGUAUUUUUUUUUUGGUAAACUAAACUGUUUCGGGAAAUUUUUAAUUUAUGUGCAAAGGAAAUUUAUUUUAUAUUGACUAUUGCCCACCGUAUACAGGCGACCUUUAAAAUCUUUUUUUUUUUUUUGUAACUUGCUUACUUAAAUUUAAAGAAAAGAUCCAAAAUGUUUUACAAGCCCAUUGGCUAUAGUUAUAACUCAUGCUUAGUAGAAUCACAUAAAGAGCCCUCUAAGAGCCCAAGAUAGAGUAAGGUAGAGCCCAGGAUAGAAGCCCAGUUGGUCUUUUCAGUUUACUCGAGUCUUUGAAAUCAUCGAAGUAUCAAGAGUGUCGAGGGUGAGUUGGGUGAAGCCGGUGAUGGUGAACAGAAUUCAGGCAAAGCGGAACCAGCUCUGCAUCAUGGUGGAAGAUCUGGCCGGGUUAGUGUUGCGGAAGCUCUGUAGCUUGUUUCUUAGUUGAGCAUCCAAGAGUCUAAAUAUCUGGUGAGUGGAGCGAAAGAUGUUCGAGUGUAGUCGUCCAUUCCUCUCAUUCCACAACCAGUAGAGAGUCGCUUGCCAUGCAAUGAGAGUUAACUUCCGUUGUGCUUCAGGCGGCGGGAGCGAUAGCAUUUGAUCGAAAGUGUCAUUCCAGAUCUUUAAAACCUUUCUUACAAAGACAUAGUACCACAGCAUUAAAAGAGAGUCGAGCAUGUGAUCUCUAACAAACGUUAGUGAAAAAAGGGACCACUAGAAUACAAACUCUUCUCAAAUAAGAUUGAACGGACGAGUCCGAAUAAGAUUAUUAACUUACUGUGUAUAUAUGACUCCGAAUCUUGGCAUAACCUUGUACUAAGUAAAAUUAAAUGAGUUAUGACUUAUAAAACAAUUUUUUUUUAGAUGAGAAAUUUUCUUUUAAAAUGAAAAAUAUAUAGUAUCAGUGUAGAAUUGGAAGCCGUAGCCAGUAAAACAAUGGGACGUAGAAAACACUCAUAAGCCAUACUAAAUCAUAGUUAUAUAUGUAAUUAUUGUAUGGCCUUUAUUGUAUUAAAUAUAAAAAUUGCUGACUUGAGUUUCCCAUCAUGUAGUCACCCAAAAUUGUUCCUGCUUCCAUUUAUGCAUGGUUUUAGGCUCACAUCCAUUUUCAUUGCAUCUCCUUCUCGGCCUUCUAAAUUUGUUAUUUCCGAUUUUACCCUCGUCCUCCUCCUCUGCAUCAUCUUCUAGUCCAUUCUCGUUGUCUUCAAACUGCUCAUUCCCAUCGUGGCUAAGUAAAGAACUCUCUGACAAACAGAGACGAAGCCUUCCUUCACAACGUUCAGAUACAAAGCAACGAGGCGGUGAGCAAACCCUAAUUGCUUGAACUACAAGACGACCAUCUUCUGUAUAAGAUUUCACCAUGCGGCUAUGGUUAAACCCUUUCACGGAUUUUAACGGCGGGGGAAAACUGUUUUCACGUACUUUAGGGUAAGUUUCUUCUCGUGGUGUUCUUUUAACAGGAAGCAUUGGUAUAUUGGUUGCUUCCAGCGCAAGCAACGAGAUCUCGUCUCCAGUUUCACUCCCACUCUCGGUACCGAGACUCUCUGUGCACAUCUCGAGGCUAAGUUUAGCUACGAACAGCUUCUGAUCAGUUGGGUGGACGUAAGACGUUUUCUUUGUUUGGUCUUCUCUGUUUCGGACAAUGCCUUUGGUUUCACAGAGAGAUUGCAGGAAACUCCAUCCACCCACGUCAGCGUUUUGGCUUAUCUGCUUCUUGAGAAGAUGGUCGUAAGCUUGGCCAACCACUGACAUGUUGUGAGAGUAAAAGAAAACAAAAACAGAGCGAAACAGAAAAACUGUGUGUGUGAGGGAGAGAAGGGGGCAAAGAUGAACGGGAGUACAAGGGAUGAGUGUGUAUUUAUAACGUGGACUAGACCUUAAGAUUUGGGAUUUGUUUUUAAUGAUUUCAAUUUAGUUUACUUUUAGGUGUAACCUAUAUAUACAAAUAAUAAAGUAUUUUAUCACUUCACUGGUUCUAAAACUAAUUUAAUUAUUUUCGCUAUUUGAAGAGCUUUUUUAUGUCAACGAAUUAUAAAAUUAAAUAGUGGCUAUUGAAAAAGUAUCAUCAAGUGUUUAAAUAUGCAUGAUGACUACUUCAUAUAGCUGGAAAACGAAUAUUCGUCAUAUUAUAAGCAAGAUAGCACCGUGCGAGUGGAGACUGACUGAAACCUAAUUGAAGAUUUCUUUGUAUUCUUUUCCAAACUACCUUAUUCUUUUCUGUCCAAUCAAAUCUUUACACCAAAUAGAACAUGAAAUCUUUCAACUGCUAAAGUAUGUUUGUUUGAAUACCGAUCGGCCCACGUACAUACAGUAAAAUGUAUUUUUAUAAAACUGUUCGUUUUUUAUGUGUACUAAUUUAUUGGAUAUUUGUAUCACACUUGAUCCUUCAAAAGAUUAGUAAGGUGUGUUGAAGUAUGUUUUUUUGUGGUUAUUGAACAAUAAGCAUAAGGUGUAUUGAAAUUUGUAUAUUAUUGUGUUCACUACUCUACGUGUAUCUAUAUGAUCUUGUUCUGCUAGACAAAGUAAUAUCAUGAGUUCAUGACCACAUAUUUUUCCUUUUUUUCUACAGUCAACCUUUUACAUUAGUAAUUAUAACAGAAAUAGAGAUCGAAUUAAUUAAGGAUACCUUAAAGUUUUAGUUUACUAACUCAUACCAAAACUACAAGUAGGAGAUCUGAUUAUUUUACCUAACUCUUAUUACACGUAUAUAUAUACAUUUAGUCAUUUACAUUAUCACAAUGUUGGAGAGCGAAUAAUACGAAGAACAACUGAACAACCCUAUUAGUACAUUUAAAAGUGGUAGUCAAUGAUAUGUUAAAUAAAGAGUUGAAUAAUAGAACAGUAGCUAUUAUAGAAAAAACACUAACAUAAGAAGAAGCUUUUAGUAUCAUCUAGUGGUGUUACUAUCAUGAAUAAUGAAAAGAAAAUAUUCUCAUCUUCUACAAUUAUAAUAGCUUUCUAUUUAAGUAAAAGAAACAACAGCCGACCAAUAAUAUUCUCGGUAGAUGCCAUAUUGUAAAAGAAGUAGUUCAUGCACCGACGUCUUUGAAGUUUAAAAUUGGACGUAGAUUGGAUUGGUGCUUUUAAACCACUGAUAAGAUGGUGGUUUUCUUUUCUAAAGCGACGAUGUUGAUUUUUGGAUAUAAUUGUAUUGAUAACAAGUUAGAACUGUUUUGCAAGAGAUACAACUGUAACUGACACAAGCUUCAUGGAACCAACAGAUUGACAUUUUCCACUUUGCAAUAUUCUGGUCCGAGGACAAAAAAUUGUGAAGGUAUAUAAAAUAUCAUGUAUAUAUAUAUUAUUCUUGAUUGGACAUGAAUACCAAACCUAAUAGUAUCAGAGUUCACAACUAUUCUUACGAACGGUGAUUAGAGUGAGUCAUGCAAGAAUCAAACAAACCUAACUAAGAUAUAUUAAUGCAAGACUUGAACAACAACCAACAAAUUUAAAACUUCAGAAUGUAAAUUUUCAGGGUUUGCAACAUCAAAUGUGUGAGAUGAGUAGUACAAUCACGAAACAAUGAUUUCAAAUACGAAUACAAAAAACGACUUAUGAAAAAUGUUUUCUGAUCGUGGCAAAAAAAGAAAAAUGUUUUCUGAUUUCCGAGUUUCUUGUUAUGUUUGAAUAUGUACUACUCGCAUGUAUGAUGAAAGAUCAAACACAUGUAUGUUCUCUAACGGCAACUAAUGUGUGACAUCUAAAGAAAGUGAUAUAUUGUUCUUAUUAAUGACGAUAAUGAAGAGGUUCUUGACCCGUACAUUCUCUUAGAACGAUGGCUAUGUCAUUUAAAUCUUCUGUGGGGAGAAUACUCUUUCCAAUAAUAUUUGAACAUGUGCUCUCUCAAAUAUCUACUAAGUUAUCUACGAAUUUAACCAAUAAGCCAACUUUUCAUUGGCGCAAUGGUUACAAAAUACGUCUCCUAUAUGGUUAUGAGCCUAGUGACAUUGGUACAUGCAUUGACGAUAAAUUAUAUAUUAGCAUAGUAUAUCUCAUUAACUUCAAACUAAUUAUUUUGAUUAACGGACAAAAGAAAUUUCUAAUUUAAGUGCAGUAUACUUUUUAAAGGCUACACAAACGACAGUUUUGGUGUUAAUUAAUGGUUUUAAAAUCUAAGUAAAAUUUGCCAAGAAAGUAGAAAGGUAAGACGAAUAUGUACCAUUUUAUCUGUCGACAAUGACCCAUAAACCAUUCGAAUGUCCCAUUUGCCAACCUCUACAUAUCUUUCGAGCUUUUUGCUACGAUUGGGGCUUGUCCAAACCAAUCAGAAGAGAAGAAGAAAGUAGAGAGGAUUCUUUUGCAUCAUCAACAUUCCACUGCUGACCUGAAAUGAUAAUGCAAGGGGAAAUCAAAAGUUAAGAUCCUUCACAUUUUUGAGUUAUUUUGUUAAGCCUUUAUUCAACUUUAUAAUCUUUAGUAGCAACAACGUAAGGUGGAAUCUCUUUCAUGUUUACACAAACAUGUCAACUGAGAAUAUUCUCAUCUCUAACUUUUGACUAUACUCAUCCCUUUGUUUCAUAACAAUUUUAAUUAAAGGAUUGUGCUAUCUAUCUUAUUAAAAUAGAAUCGUAUAAAAAUGAUCUUGUAUUUACAUGGUAUUAUGAAAAAUCUUACUAAUUUUUAACUAUGACUAGGAAUUUCAUUAGAUCGAUGUAGUUUGGUCAUUACUUACAAUUAGACUAUUUUAAUAGAAUGCACUAUUACACGUGAAAUUAAUAUAAUAAAAAUCAGCCAAAAAUAAUUUUUUUUUUUUUUCGAAACACAGAGGCAAUCAUCAGCUAUCAGCAAAGAAAAAAAACAUGAGGAAACAAGUACAAUUAGAUGAUAACCUUUGUCUGAACAAAGUGGCUUAGGUCUGUACACUGGAACCAUGCAAAUAUCGUUGAUAAAACUACAAAUUUGUCUGGAACAUCCAGAUUUUGAAUUCGAACCCUAUUAUAGGGAACUACUGCACGAUUGUCUCUGAACAUUUUAUAUGGAUAUGAGCUUUUUCUUUCGGUCUAUUUGUAAAUCCAGUGCGCGAAUAUAUCAUGUGUCCCAAAAAAAUUAGUUUGUGUAUGUUUGCACAUAGGAUCUACUCAUGACUCCUGAGUUAUAAAAAAGCUACAAAAUAAAGAAAAAGCAAUACUUAUUCUGUUUUUUUAUUGUAAGUAGUUUAAGUAAAAUUUGAUUGUUUAAAAAUAUAAAUAGUUUUCAUAAUUUUAAGUAACUUUUACUUUUAUUAGGUAUAGUGUGAUCAAUCAAAUAAUAUAUAUUUAUUUAUGAUUAAUUUAACUACACCUAAUAUAUCUAUCAAAUGCUACUUUUGAAAAAAAUUAAUAACUUUGUUAAUAUUUGUAGAUUCAUCUAAAACUACCUAGAAAAAAACAGAGCGAGUAAAACAUAAACAUGUAAUACCCAUUUAGCUUUCAUAUGUACGAAUGCUAUGUCACGGGCUUUCUUUCACACUUUGGGUUUUACAAAUUAGGCUUCUGGUAUGUUGGACUAGGCCGAGAAUAUAAAAGGGUUGAUUUGAUAUGAAUCUACCUAUAUAUGCCAAGUCCAAAAGAAAACAAAAAUCAAAUUAACAAAUAAGCUCUUCAGUAUAGUUAUCAAGACCUACGUCGAAUUAACAAAUAACUUAAGUCUAGUAGUUAAGAAGAUCAACUGAUUUGGGGUUUAAUUUUUCAGUAAAUACAGAUUAUGCAUAUUAAUAGAUGUAAAACCUGUCAAGAGUUUUAGAGCAGUACAAUUAAAGUCGUAUGCCGUGAUUUCAUGUAUUAUGAAGAAAAAAACUGUUGAAAUAUUAAAAGGAAAAUUGUUUUUUUAGACCAAAAAACAUGUAUAUUGAUUGUCCCAUUAGGCCAAUUCCAAAAGUGUAAUUGUCUCCUUAGGCUAAUAUUUUUCUAAUUGCCUAUUAUAUUUCUAAAUUAACUUAAUUAAAAUUUUAAACAAAUUAACUUAGUAUAUUAUAUAUGUUAAAAAAUAAAGAAAUUAAAUAGAAAAGGGGUAACAGAAUAUUCCGAAUUCGAUUUUUAGAUUUUUCUUUUUGAAAAUUCAUUUUUUUCAAAAAUGAUGAUAACAUAAUAUUUCCCAACAUUUCAUAAAUAUAUUUUUCAUAUUUUCAGAACUGUUCGUACUUAUCCGUAGAAUCUGCAUUCUACUAUGUGUAGAAUACAUAUAAACCGUUUUAAUUUUAUUUUGAGAGGUUUUAAAUUUUGAGUAAUAUAUAGAUUGUUGGUUCUACAUAUUUUAGAAUGUAAAGUGUAGAAUGUGUAUUCUAAAUAUUGUAGAUUAUUGUUAUUUUCGAAGAUCUUUUAUUCUAAUCUUAAUAUAUUUAAUAAAAAAUAUGGAUGACAUAUUCUAAUCAUACUAGAUCUAAUGAAAAACGUGGAUUUCAUUUUUCACUUUGUAGAAUGUACAUUCUACAGUCCGUCGAAAGGAAUCUGAAAAAAAAAUUAAUCUUUUUAGAAAAAAAAAAAUCUAUAGGUAUUUACAAUGCAUUCCUAUUUUCCUAUUUUUUUUGUUUCUAAAACUAUUUAUUUGGUUUAUUUUUAUAAAUAUAGAAACGGCAUUAUAGGUAUAAAAAAAUUGUAUAAAUUUGAGAUUAGCCUAGCGGACAAUGUACCUGUUUUUUUUGUCUAAAAAACGAUUUUCCCAAUAUUAAAUUUAUCUAUCGAAAUCCAAAACAUAGAACCAAAAGAGACUGAAGAAGCUAAAGGAGCUCAAACUCAAAAUCUUCAGUACAGGUUUUAAAACAAAGAGAUGAGCCAUCACGCUUCAGGUAUAUAUAUGUGCGAUAUUUCGUCUUCUUCGCCCGCUGGCCACUUCCUUGUUUAGAUUGUGAAUGUCUUUAUGAAUAGUUCUUGCUAUAAAUAAAGUUGAAUUUGAUGGACUAUGAUGGCGACAUCCAUUCCAAUCUCCAUAUCCAAUAAAAAAAAAUUGUUUGGAAAACUAUUUUUGUGAGUAGAGCGCGCAUCGUACUUUGGAAGUCUGUUGCAGUUGAUAUGAGUGCGAGUGUUUGUCCAGUCCGGAUUGAUACAUUUAUAUAUGCCAAGAAAGUUCUGCUACCUGGCAGCAAUGCCUAAAUUGUGAAUGAGAAUGCACAUGAAAAAGGUGAUUAUGGGUUUCAUUUGGAUCGCCAUACAAUAGACAUAUAUAUGUCUAACCCACUGUGUCUCAUGUGAUCCCCUGUGUCUAAUCUAUUACAACAAGCUAACCAUGUGAUGAAAGCUUGGCAUGGGAUCAGAACCGGAUAUGAGAAUUUGGAAGAGAUAAACAUUUUUUUACUUUUAUAAAAAAAAAGAAUUCAUAAUUUGGAAGCCUAUGCUCAUGUUAAAAGCCUAGAAAAGAAUUUGGAAGCCAAAGUCCUGCUCUGCGUGAGACCGAUUGAGGGAACUAAACAAUGCUUUGUCAGUCCACAUUAUGUUGAAUCAUUAUUUUUUUGGUCCUAAGUACUUCUCAUUGAGAAUUUUGAUCACUUUUGCCAUGUCUUUGCCUCCAAAGAGGUUCCAAGAGCCCGGAUUUAGACCCAAGAUCUGCCUGAUGAAAUUUAUAAAUUCAUGAAUUAACUGCCCACUACGUUUUAAAAAUUUCUAUCCCCUUGCACCAGUAGCUUCUGCAACUUUAGAUUUUAUGUCUUGCCCUGAUUUAUGAAUGGUUUAUCAAAAAAAAAAAAAAAAAACUUUAGAUUUUCUGUCAAUUCCCAACAUUCUAAUUCCAACUUCACAAAUAGUACGAAUUAGGGAUUUUGAGCCAUUUGUAAUCUCAACUUUGAAGAAAAUUUCCGCUAGUAGUCUUAGCUUUAAAAGUUUUUUUUCACAUCUAAGAUCCUCCAGUAGUCUUUUCAAAAUGUCAUAAAUCGACCAGUCAAUUAGUGUUUGACCCAGGAAAACCCAUAAUAAAUCCGAUGUAAUAAUAAAAUCUAUGUACCCUGUAAUUUUUGAAUCCUGAAACUCCCUUCUUUCUUAGGACACUCAAGUCUGACCAUGCCACCUUAGCUUUGGUAGAUACAUUUGACGCCCCAAACAAGAGAAAAGCCAAAAACAUUUUCUCAAUGUGAUCAAGACAUCGCUUAGGACAAUGAAAAGUUGAACAUCAAAAGUCGGUGGUAUCCACUGAUUUAAUAAGCUGAAGACAACCUCCAUACAAAGUGAGCUGUUUGACCACUUAAGAAGCCAGGAGUGUAUCUUGUCAAUAUAAUGUUUAUAAUCAAGCUGGGUCAUAUUGGCAAAUCCUAAGUGUCGAAUGGAAAACAUAUUUAAAAUAAUUAGAUGUAUGUAGACUGUUUAUUGUAAAGCUUUGUGUUGCUAAAAAAUAUAUAUAUAUAUACUUUGGGUUGCUAAAUAAAUAAAUAAAUAUAUAUAUAUAUAUAUAUAUAUUUAACAUCUUGUCAAACUACUCAUCAUAGUUAUAUAUGCUACAACUAAUGAAAUUUGAUCAAUUGAUCAUCAUUUUUUAUAAAUUUAUACAAAAUACUAUUUUUCUGAUAAAAUUUUCAGUCUUUCAAAAAUCUGGAUUUUAUUUUUGUCAUAAGUUAUAUCCUUUCAACUUUGACUUCUUAUAUAGAUGACAAAAAAACCAAUUUAUAUUAAAAUAGUGAUUACUUUUUUUUGUCAUCAAUAGUGAUUAUUAUUUCUACAUAUAUAUAUAUUAACUAUAGAUUUAAAUAUAUAUGUUUAUGCAAUGUUUGAUAAAUAUCAUUUAUUUAUAAUAAAUUAAUUAUAGAAAAUGCACUUUUGUUGAUAAUUCAUAUAUGUGAAUUAUUCGCAAUCUCUAAAUUAAAAUUUUCUAAUAAACUAUUUUAUUGAGACAAAAAUUUAAUUUAUAAUAUUUUAAGUUUUUAACGGUGUAAUGUUUAAAAUAGAUUUUGUCAGAUUUAAAGAAGGUUAAUCCAAACUAGUCAUGAAGGAACGAAACAAUUUUAAAUUGUCAGUUUUUUCCAACUUAUCAGAUGGAUAUUGUCUUUUUCGAUAUUGUUUGUCUUUUUAAUAUUUUCCCAAAAAGAUUAGAUAGGCUAUUUUCAAUUUAUUUUCAUAUUAUUUUAUCAUUUUUGAUAGACUUGAUUGAAUAAAAGAAAUUUUAGACAAAAGUUAUAUAUAUAUAUCAUUUCUUAAAAGUUAAUCUCAUUGUUUAUCAUAAAUUUCUUACCCCUAAAUUGGGUCACCAACAUAUAGUAUUUUUACAAUUUAAUAAUGAGGUUGCCAAAAGAAAAUUCCGUUUUGAACAUCUAAUCUAUGUAUAAAUAUUCAAAAUGUAAAAACUUUUUAUAUUGUUAUUAUCUUAUGCUUUGUCCAUUUAAUGUUCAUUAAUCAAAGUCGAGGACCGUAUGCGUAUGCUGAGGCUUCUUUACAGCGAUCAUUUAGAACACUUUUUUUUUGGACAACUGAUCAUUUAGAACACUUAACAUGCAGUAUAACUGCUCCAAGAAGUGCUCUCCCGUGGCGGUGCCGGGAUUGUAGAGGACCCGAAUAUUUAGAGGAUUGUGUAUAUUUUAUUUAAAUUAAUGUGUGUUGAAAUUAUAUGACUAUUAUAUUAGUUUUGAUGUCGUAACUAUUAUUUUUUAAACAUAUUCAGUGAGUAGAUCAAUAUGUGAUUAUUAUAAAGAGUAUCGUAUAACUGCAUAUAUAUAUAUACAUUUUACCAAUAUAUGAUAAACAAAUGUAAUUUAGUAGCCUUUUCAAAUUUAAUUUAAUGAUUAGUAAGUUUAUGACAAAAAGGAUUAGUAAGAUUAUGAUUUGUUAUAUACAGCUGUAUUUUCACUUACAAUGGAGAUACAUUAUCUGACAUAACUGAAAACUAUACGUGUUGUGUAACAAAUGCAAGAAAAUAUUCAACUCUGUUUGAAUAAUGUUAAUUACUAACCUUAGAAAUCCAAUUUAACGAUAAGAUUUGUUCUGCUAAUAAUAUAGCUGUAUUUUCAUUUAUCAUGAAAAAAUAUCAUAAGUGGCAAACUAAAAAUUAUUCGUGUCGUGUAACAAAAAAAAAAGAUAAAGAAGGAUUCAAUUAUAGUAUCUGAGCAUAUGGUAUUUAUUUGGAUAAUUUUGACUAAUAACCUUUUGAAAUCUAAUUUGAUGAUUAGUAAGAUUAUGUUUUUUAUAUAUAGCUGUAUUUUAUAUAUAAUGAAAAUACCAUAUGAAAAUUAUACGCAUCGUGUAACGAAAAAGAAGAAAAGAAAUUAAUAAGAUUCCAUUAUAUUCGAAUAACUUGAUUCAAAAUUCAAAUAGUACAAGGAUAAUGCAAUAACUACACGUGUAGUAUCAUCUUGUAUAGCUCUUAUGAUUUCCACUUUAUCCUAAAUUAAUACUACAAAAUGAUGUAAUCCAUCAAAAAAUGAAAAAAAAAAUAAUGAGAAACAAAUAUUACAAGAAUUGAAAAGGAGAAACUCGUGAAGUUUACCUUUGUCACGAGAUAAAUACCACUUAGAAAUAAAUAUAUUGCAAUAUGCCUUGUCACAAAACCGAUCAACAUAAAUGAUUCGUUACCUGAAACUAUUAUUUUGUAAAAAUAGUAUGUCUGUAUCUGACGUGCAUCAUAUAUGAUAUGAUUCAGAGGAUUGCAUGUAAGCCAUCGUAUGUGUACUUGGUUUCGAAGAUAACGGCCUGUGCCAUAUCUUUUCUUUUAAAGUAAAUUCAAUUUUCAGAUGGAUACAAGAGAAUGAGAAUUAGAAGAAAAAGCCAAAUAUGCCCUUCAAAUCCAUAGCUAUGGAAGGAAAAUAAUCCCACAGAAACACAUUCCAUGCAUCCAAUCUCUCUCUUCUUUCUCUCUCAAGAGUACAGUCAGAUACAAUCUCUGAUGGGAAGUCGGUUCUGUCGUUAUAUAAUCCCAUUAAAUUUAUUUUCUCUCUCACCAGUUCUCAUCUUUCUCUCUCUAGUUUCACAAUCUCUCUUCUUCACUAAGUCUUUGAUAAAAACAGAGAGGAGGAGAAAAAGGCUUCUAACUUCUAAGCCAUGUCUCUACAAUACUAUGCUCUUAACUCUAUUCAAAGUAACAACUUGUUCAGUACUAAAACAACAGUUUCUCCUUCUAGUUCUUCUCUCUCUUCUUAUGUCCUUAAGAUCUCAGGUGCGUGAUCUUCUCUCCUCUGUCUCCAUCUGUCUUAUCAAACACACACGAUCCCGAAAACAGAGUCUUUCACUAACAUGUUUUGCUAUGUCUGUAAACGAAAUUCUCUUGUGGGUUUGAUGAUGAUCAGUUCUUUAACUGAGUUUUGGAUGAAAAAGAAUUUGUUUCUUUUUGUUAUUUUGUUUUCGGUUUUUUAUUUUCCCUAGAGAACAAAACAAAGAAACAGAGUGAUGACUCUGUUUAUAUGUUCUCUCAGUACCCACGCGUGAGAUAUAUUUCAUCAUCAUCAAUGUCUCUCUAUGUCUCUCUUUUCGUUUUAUUUUCUCGUUCUUCCAAACAUUUUAUAAUCAUUAAUCACUCUUCGUUUAUUUUUUCUUCAUUUCCCAAUAAUUCUAUUUUUGUUUAUGUCUGAUUUUGAACUUGUUUUUUUAUUUUUACUUUCUGAACGAAUGUCUUCUCCUAAUUCGAUGCAAAAUCAGACUAUGACCACAACAAUCUAUAGUUAGUACGUGGAAACAUUUUAAGCCUACAUUUAUAAUAAAAUGAGACUAUAAGAUACUACUCCCUCCGUUCGAAAUUAUUAGACGUUUUAGAGAUUUUCUUUUGUCUCAUAAUACUUGACGUUCACAAAGUCCUAGGUAAAAAAAGAUAACAUAUGACUUUUUCUACCCUUGCAAUUAAUGAUCUCUAGUGAUAAUGAUAUGAAGUCAAUUGAAAAUAAAACAUAAAUGAAAGGUUAAAAUAGAUAUUAUAGCAACAUUCUUAAUUUAUGUGCCAGUUUCUAAAACGUCAUAUAAAUCCGAACGGAGGGAGUAUCAGUUUGAAUUUAUUAUUAGAGAAGUACGUUUAGAGAAUCUAGUUCUCAUUAUUAGCGAGUGGAUUGACCUCGUAUCGUAGCUUAUAAUAAUUUAAUGUUUGUUUGACCACGGACAAAAAAUUAGUGAUUAUUAUUUAUUUAUUUCUCUAUAGUUAGCAAAUUACUCAUUCUCUUGUCAGUGUUAUAUUUAAAUUUUGUUUUUGAUAGGAUCACCGCUAAGUUUGGGGAGCGACAAACCCAGAAGCUGCUCCAUAUAUUGUACAAAACUUCGAACUCAAGGUCUAAUUUAAUUUCAAAAUUAAGUAGUAGUUUACAUCUAUUCCCUUUAUUUUGUUUUCCAUAUAAAAUUUCAAUGUUUCUGUGCAGAAUACCCUAAAUCUCACGAAAUUCAACAUGAUAUACCUCUAAUACAGUGGCAACAGCUUCAAGGAGAUGCUCCUCAGGUGAUUUUUAAAUAUAUAUUGUCAAUUUUAAAAGGCUGUUAUUUGUUAUAAUUAUUUUCUUGUCAAUAAUAUUCACCAAAAAUAUCCUCAUUUAUAAAUACAUUCACUCUUCCUUUUACCUUGAUUUAUACAUUUUCCCCCGGAAUCUAUACUUUAUAUUCCAUCAAAAAUAGUUAUUUUAUCAUUGUAUGUUUACAUUAAAGGUACCAACCACAUUUAAUUUCAAUUGUUGUUAUGAUUAUAUGCGCUGAUUAUAAUUUCGUGCAUUUUGAAUAAUAGACUUUUUUUUUGAAUAAUAGAUUAGUGUUGGAAGUAAUGAUAUUGCAAUCGAAGAAGCAGUGAAAAGAGUGAAGUCCAUUUUAAAAAACUUAAGUGACGGUGAAAUUACGAUAUCGGCAUAUGACACUGCUUGGGUUGCUUUGAUCGACGCCGGAGAUAAAACUCCGGCAUUUCCCUCCGCCGUGAAAUGGAUAGCCAACAAUCAGCUAUCCGAUGGUUCAUGGGGUGAUGCCUACCUCUUCUCUUAUCAUGACCGUCUCAUCAACACACUUGCCUGCGUCGUUGCUCUAACAUCAUGGAAUCUCUUUCCUCAUCAAUGCCACAAAGGUAAUUUAUUUUUAUUUGCAAAAAAAAAUUAGGAAACAUGAAAGAAUAUCUCGACUUUCUGCAAAAAAAACGCAAAUCCUUUUUUAUAGUGGGCUGAAAAGAAAGUAUACAUUGUUUUAUAGUUAUGAGUUAGACCAUCAAUCUUCUUUCUUUUUUCCGAAUGAAAAACAUCAAUCUUCUUUUUAAAAAGUUUCAAAUCUUUUUCCAAUAGCCAUUCAAACUAAUAUAUACAUAUAUAUAGGUUAAAAGAAACGUAUCCUUUUUCCUUGUUAUUGUUUGAUAUGGACUAAUUUUAAAUUAUUUUGAAGUAUUAAUUACUAGUUACCUGUACAGGAAUCAUGUUUUUUAGAGAAAAUAUCGGAAAGCUAGAAGAAGAAGACGAUGAGCAUAUGCCUAUUGGAUUCGAAGUAGCCUUUCCUUCAUUACUUGAGAUAGCUCGAGGAAUAAACAUAGAUGUACCGUACGAUUCUCCGGUCUUGAAGGAUAUAUACGCCAAGAAGGAGCUAAAGCUAACAAGGUUUGUGUGUUGGGCCAAAAAUAUACAAUUUGAAAUAUUCUAUUUUUAUAUAAACAUUUUCGAAAGUAUUUAUAUACGAGUCCAAUGUAGGUCACUUAAAACCAAAAAGAAUUAUACGAUAUAAUAUUUGCAUACGUAUUAUAAGAUAUCUAUAUAUAUAUAUAUAUAUAUAUAUAUAUAUUGACUAAGAUGUGAAUUAAAUUUGGGCGUACGUUGAAAUCUUUAUAGGAUACCCAAAGAGAUAAUGCACAAGAUACCAACAACAUUGUUGCAUAGUUUGGAGGGCAUGCGUGAUAUAGAAUGGGAAAAGCUAUUGAAACUUCAGUGUCAAGAUGGAUCUUUCCUCUUCUCUCCUUCCUCGACCGCUUUCGCAUUCAUGCAGACCCGAGACAGUAAGUGUCUUGGGUAUUUGCGCAAUGCCGUCAAACGUUUCAAUGGAGGAGGUUUGUUAUCUAGUAACCGUGUCUACUCAUAUAUUUUUGUCUACUAGCAUUCAUGUGUAUAUAUGGCAAUGUAUAACAUCUACUUUUCACUAAUAAACUGUUAUAAUUAUAUUUUCAGUUCCCAAUGUAUUUCCUGUGGAUCUUUUCGAGCACAUAUGGAUCGUGGAUCGCCUACAACGGUUAGGGAUAUCGAGAUACUUUGAAGAAGAGAUUAAAGAGUGUCUUGACUAUGUUCACAGGUUAGAAAAAACGUUAUUUUAAUACUCCCUCUGUUUUCAAAUGUAGGUAGUUUUAGCAAAAAGAGUUUGUUUCACAAUAUAAGUAGUUUACAUAUUUCAAUGCACCUUUUUCAUUUAUUAGAUAUUGUGUGACCAAUAAAAUAAUGUUAAGCUUUUUAUAAUUGGUUGAAUUAAUUGAUUAAAUGAUAUAUUUUUUUAGAUAACAACUUUCUAAAUAUUUGUACUUUUAAGUAAAACUACUUAUAAUUAAAAACAGAGGGAGUAUUAACUUCAUUUGUAUACCAAAGUAGUUUUACUCUAAUGAUGAUGAUGAUAAAAUAUCAGAUAUUGGACAGACAAAGGCAUAUGUUGGGCUAGAUGUUCCCAUGUCCAAGAUAUCGACGAUACAGCCAUGGCAUUUAGGCUCUUAAGACUUAAUGGAUACAAAGUUUCCGCGGGUAAAAAAUAAUAUUUGUUUUUUGGUAAUAUAUUUUAACAAAGUUAAAAGUAUAAUAUCUAGUUCAAUUUUAGAUGUGUUCAAGGUCUUCGAGAAAGAAGGAGAGUUUUUCUGCUUCGCGGGCCAAUCAAACCAGGCGGUGACUGGUAUGUUCAAUCUAUACCGGGCAUCGCAAUUAGCGUUUCCAAGGGAAGAUAUAUUGAUAAACGCCAAAGAAUUUUCGUCCAAGUAUCUACAACAUAAACAAGAGAAAGGAGAGUUGCUUGAUAAGUGGAUUAUAAUGAAAGACUUACCUGGCGAGGUACUUUACAUGUACAAUAAGACCAGAAACACACAAAUUACAAAUGGUUCCAAAAAACAUUACAUCUGCACUUACGCACUGCAUACCACUUUGGGGUCAUCUGAUGGAGAAGGAAAACGACAAAGCGUGUUUGACUCUUUUUUGCUUAUUUUUGUUUUCUAUUUUGCAUGUUAGAUUGGGUUCGCGUUGGAGGUUCCAUGGUAUGCAAGCUUGCCUCGAGUGGAGACGAGAUUCUAUAUUGAGCAGUAUGGUGGAGAAAACGACGUUUGGAUUGGCAAGACCCUUUAUAGGUACUUUUUAUUUUUCAUAUUUAUUAUUAUGUUGCAUUGUCCAAUGAAUGCAAAACAAAUGCAUUGCACUAGCUGUUAUAAUGCAUGCAUGAGCUGACCACGUAUGCGUUAAGAUAAGGCCAUUAUGGUCAUUUAGUUUGGUAAAAUACGUAGGUGAUUUUAAUCUGGAUGAAUCAAAUCAAUUGUAAAUACCUAACUUGAACCGAAUGGAAUGUGGAGUGUUUUUUCUGCGUUUAACAAGAACUGCGGGUAGUUGUAACACUUUUUUUUGCAAUUGCAAGUGUAUUAAUUAUAAAGUUAAUUGAUAUACUAAUAAUGCUGGUGGACGAUGUAGGAUGCCAUAUGUGAACAAUAAUGAAUAUCUGGAAUUAGCAAAACAAGACUACAACAACUGCCAAGCUCUGCAUCAACUCGAAUGGGACACUUUCCAAAAGUAAUAUCGUCUCCACUCUUCAUUUUUUCAAUAAUCAUGGCUUUUAGUUGUUGCGUUUUUUAUUUCUAAACUUUUAGGAAACUUUUAUGCAAGUGGUUUAGGGAGAUCUAAUAAAAACUUUGUGAUAUUUCCGAAAAACAGACAAGUAUUAUUUUCUUAUAACAUUUCUAAAUGAAUUAGCUAAAUGGUGUUUUAUUUAUUUCAUAUGAGCAAAAUCACAACCUUUUUCGUGACAAAGUCGCAACUUUUAUUUAGCACUAGCAAGUUUAUCGAUGCUUUAAUUACUUUAUUCUUUUUGUAUUUUUAAAAGCAAAAAUAAAACACUCCGUUUUACUAAGUAUUCGGUUAAUAAAUGAUGAAACCAAUUAUUUAUCUUUUUGAUCAAUAAACCAAUUAUUUAUCUCAAACUGGAAUAGUGUAUAUAUACCCGUAUAUAUAUAUAUAUAUUUAUUUAUUUCCAUAGUGUCUGGAAAGAAAAAACUUUGGUUCCAGUUAAACCGUAUCUUUAAGUUUAUAUUUUUUCUCUAUAUAAGAACUAAUUUUAAAAUCAAUUUGUACGCAGGUGGUAUGAAGAAAAUUGGUUAAGUGUGUGGGGUGUGAGUAGAAGCGAGCUUCUAGAGUGCUAUUACCUAGCGGCUGCGACUAUCUUUGAGGCAGAGAGGUCACAUGAGAGAAUGGUUUGGGCUAAAUCAAGUGUAUUGGUUAAAGCCAUUUUUUCCUCUUUUGGUGAAUCCUCUGACUCAAGAAGGAGCUUCUUCGAUCAAUUUCGUAACUAUAUUGCCAAUGCUCGACAAAGUGAUCCUUACUUCAAUAACAGGUAAAUUACUCUUAUGUUUUCUGAUACAUAAAUUGAAGUUGGGAAAAUUAUGGAAAAUAACACCAAACAAAGUUUUGAUUACAAAAAGUAAAAUAUCCCACGUACAGCUAGUCAGCUACCAUAAUUUUAUUAUCAAAAUGACUAAAAUACUUUUUAAAGGAAUUUUUAAUCAAAUAAAGAAACUAAAAUCAAAAGUUUUUAAUUUAGUUAAAAAUAACUUAAAAUAUCAAUAUUAACGUAAUAUUUCUGUUAUCUUAGAAAUCUGCUACCAUAAUUUCAUUAUCAAAAUGACUAAAAUACUUUUUUUUUAAUUCUAUACAGAAACGAAAAUCAAAAGUUUUUAAUUUAGUUAAAAAUGAUUUAAAACAUCAAUACUAACGUAAUAUUUUUGAUAUCUUAGAAAUUUAAAUUUAUCAUGAGUCUUUUUUUGUCAACAAUUUAUCAUGAGUUUUUUAUCUAAAAUUUAUGCUAUUUUAGAAUAGUUAUCUUGUAAUUUUUUUGAGUUAAAAAAAGAAUUUGGAAAGGCCAGUUUUCAAAAAAAAAAAAGAGCUUUGUAGCAAUAAAUUUGAUUUAUGUCCCACCUAUUGGUUUUACGGAUUUUGCCUUUGCAACCCUUCACCAUCAAUUAUUUUGUCCAUCUACUAACUCGCAAGCUCCUAGCAUUUAAAUCUAUAAAUCUGUUUAGGUCCCACCUAUUGGUUUUAGUUUAACCCUAAUUGAACGGCUGUUUGUUUUGUUUCUGCUAUUUGUUUAUUUUGCGAAAACACUGUUGGUUUCGCGGCAGAAAACACCAGGCUGUCUCCAUUUAAUUAUAUGUGAAGGAUAAGUUCAUUUGACCUAAUAUCUUCUUUUUUAAACCUGAGAUUAAAAAAAACUGUUAGUUUCAUCGAACUGAUGAUGUGCAGACAAAACUUUCAUUUUAUACGGCAUUUUUUUGCCAGUAUAAUUCUGUCCGAAAGUAUUUUUUUGUAUUGGUUAAGAUAAGAGAACAACUCUCUUCCAAUAAAAACCAGAUUUGGUGACGUUAUAAUAAAAAUCUGGAGGCUGUGUAAAAUGGAAGUUCCCUUACGUACAAAGUAAAAGCUGGAUUUAUAUACGUGUGUGUUUUUAAUUUUAUAUAUUUGAUUUUCAUACAUAAACAAAGUCAAAAUAAAAAGAAAGCUCUAGUAGUAUCAGUUGAUUGACUAAUUUGUCUAUACUAUAAUAAUGCAUGGUGGACAUGAAAAAUAGGAGUAUAAGAUUGGACCGACCAGGAUCGGUUCAGGCGAGUGGGCUUGUCGGAAUCUUAAUCAGAACUUUGAAUCAGAUAUCGUUUGAUCAUUACAUGUCUCAUGGUCGUGACGUUAUCAGUAUCCUCUAUCAAUCGGUACGUUUCUAUCUUAUUUUUUUCUUCCUCUCACGUUUAUAUUUUUUUGCUUACGAAUAUUUAACAAAUAAAUACGUAGAUAACAUACAUAAAAUAAGUCACAGCGGUAAUUAUAAGAAAACGGAUUUGAAUGUAGAGCGUUAUUUUCUAUAGUAAAUAGUAAAUAGUUAGCUGAUGUGUUGAAUAUUAAAAGUUUGGAACGAAAUUGAUUUUUUGUUUUUUCUCUUGUCGGGAAUAUUGUUUAUAAAAUUAGGGUUUCGGAUAAUAUUUUUACUAAACUUGUGUAGCUGAAAUUUCAUGGUGCUUUUAAAAUAUUAAAAAUAAUAAAAAGUUCGAAACAUGUAGAAGGUGUAUAUCGUUCUAAAUAUAUACUUGUAUGAGUAUGUUUAUUAAUGUUUUUUAUAGUGGGGAGAAUGGCUGGAGAAAUGGAAAUUAGACGGAAAUGAAGGACAUGGAGAGCUCCUGGUGAAGAUGAUAAUUCUAAUGAAGAACAAUGACCUAACUAACUUAUUCACUCAUCCUCGCUUUGUUCGUCUCUCAGAAAUCAUCAACCGAAUCAAUCUUAUUGCCCAAUACCUAAAGGUUAGUAAUUUUUUUCUGGUCAUAUAAAUUACAAAACAUUAUUCAAAUAAUCAUGACUGGUCUCUCUAAUGCAGAAGUCGCGUCAUAAAAAAACUAAUUCAUUUUAAUUGGUUUUGUGUUGAUACAAAAAUAAACCUCAAAAUAUCCUCCAUAAUUCAUCUCUAAAUCUGAUGUCCAAGUCCAUAACUUCUUUAGCAUGUGUUUUGGACCAGGCCUGCAAAUACUCGAUAAUGAUUGUUCCAUUCGAUGUUACAACUACUUCGAGUCUAGUCACCAGAUCAUACCUCUAACAUAUGUAUAUGUCUUACUGCAGACAAUGAGAAACGAUAAGAAAGAGACGACAAUAGAGAGAAUGGAGUAUGAGAUGGAGCAAAUGGUUGAGUUAGUAUUGUUGGAGGUUGACACACUCCGUGAUGUCAGCAUCACGUUUCUCGAUGUUGCUAAAACUUUUUACUAUUCUGCUUCAUGUGGUGAUCAUCUCCAAACUCACAUGGACAAAAUCUUGUUUCAAAAAGUUCUAUAACCUUAUCAAUAUCGAUCCAUGCCGGUUGUAUUUAAUUACGUAAUCAAUGGAUAGUCGAUUCAUGAAUCGAUUGUUUUUUGUAUAUAUGGAUAUGUGGAGAAUGAGAAUAAAUUAAAUCAUGUACAAGUCAAACCUUGGAGUAGUUAUUAGCUUCUAUUGGAGAGAAAAUCCCACAUUGGAAAUAUGGAAAUAACAUGAAUAGUAUAUAAGGGAUUUGGGUCAAUCCACUAAUUGUCAAUUGGUUUUAAGUUUGAAGCCUAUGAAAUUUAUCAUGAUAUAUUCUCUCCAAUAAUCUUUUCUAUAGAUAAUGAACCCUCCGGAAAACAACUUCUUGUUCAAGAUGAAAUCAGUAUAUGAACAUCGACAUAUAUCAUGUAGACUCUCUAUGAUGCAAGUCAUUCAUUUUCUUUCGUCAACUCUAGGCUUUGGAACAAUCGUCUUUCUUCUUCUUUACAUUUGAUGGUGCAGAUCGAGGUUUGAACCGUGUGCAUGUUGAAAACGCGGACACUCCUAACCAUUUAGGUCACUAAGGAUUUGGCCAGAACGAAUUUUAAUAAUACUAGAGUCUUUGUCCGCGCUACGCGCGAAAAAUGGGGGUUGAAGAAAUUAUUAAGUAACGUUUUUUAAUAUUAUUAAGAAUUUAUUUGCUAAGUUCAAUUAUGUUUUGUUUGGAAGUUGACAUUUUCUAUAAGUUUUUGACAUAGUUGGAUGGAUUAAAAUGUCAGGAAAUAGAUGAUAAUAAAUUAGUUUAAAGGAAGAAAAACAGAUGAGAAAAUAUUUUGUUGGAGUCAAGCAGAAUGAAAGAUAUUGAGGAACAAUAAUGUUUUUAGGUUGAAAAGAAUUGUACACCAUAAAGGUCACACUUAUCAAAGCCACCUAUGCGAUCAAGUUUGAUAACUCAAUUAGUUAUGAAAAGAUACCGUGAAGAAUAUAUUAUUUUAUCAGUUACAAAAAAAAGAAUAUAUUAUUAUAAUUCACUUAAACUUACAAUCAUAAAACUUUGGUUUGAACGCUGGUAGAUUGCAUAUCUGGUGGACUACGAAAUACAUUCAUAAUUUAAAAUGGUAUGAUUUUGAAUAAAGAAAUACUAUAUCUUAGGAGUCAUGACACACCUUUUGGUUUGUUGCGUGAUCCGAGUGGACGUCCUCUUUUUCUUUUUAUGUGUGUUCCCUGUAGAAGUUUGGAAACAAAAAAUUUUAGGUGUUAAAAUUAUUUUAUUUUUUUUUGCAAAAGAGCUUGAUUUUUUUUUGAGGAGUUGGUUGCAUUGUUAUCCUAUCGCGAUGGAAUAGGGAAUGGAUGCUUGUGCAUGGUCGGAUUAGUAAAUAUUUUAAAGUUUUUUGUUUUGUCGAAUAAGUAUAUUUAUGAAUUUGGCUACUUAACGGGAGUUAGGGGAUUUGGGGUUUAAGUAGCAGAAUAUUGGCAUUAUGUAAUAUUGACAUGGCUAUUAAUAUUGAUGACACAUUGUAUAGCUAAAUAUGACAUAUAUAAUUAUAUUUAAUGUUAAUUUAUAAUUUUGGUUAAGGUAAUAACUCAUAUAUUACAAUUCAUGUUGAUAUUGUUUUUUUAGUAAAUUUUCAAAUUAUGAUAAUAAUUCAUACAUCAUCACUAAAAUAAAUAUAUUCGAAUAUGAUAAUCAAUUUCGAAAUAUUGUUUUGUUUUAAUAUAAUUAUACAAAUUCAUAACAAAACUUAAAAAAAAAAAUUCUAUACUUAAAUAAAUACUUAAUCGUUAAAUCUUUAGUAUUUUAUAUAUCAACAAUUUUAAAAAAUUAGUUUUAAUUUUUGAUAACUAUACAAUUAUUUAUACAAAUUUAUUUAUUAUAAGUAACCAAAAUAGAUAGAUAGAAAAAUCUAUCUAAGUCUAAGAUUUUAGAUAUAUACAUAUAUAUUCUUAAAAUAAUUUCAGAAAACAAAUCUAUUUUUAUUUUAAGUUAAGUUAAUUUAUAUUUAGUUAAUUCAAUUAUAUGUAAUUAAAACAAAUACUAAAAUAUGAUUCUUGGUAUAGCAUACAAAUAAUUCAAUGAAAAAAAUAAUCUAUGAUUUUUCAAAAAUUGAUUACUAACCUUUUUUAGUUUUAUCAGAUUUGUCGAGAGCAGCUUCACCCCAUCUAUAGUGAAAUUCUUAAUUUUGUAGUUUGUAUGUAAUUAUACUACAAUAUAUUUUAUUUUCUAUUUUAUUAGGUUAUCAAAACGAUAUAUGAGUUAUGUAUUUAAAAAAUAUUUUCAUCGAUUAUAUGGUUGUUGUGUUUUCAGGAAUUUCCAAUUUACGUUCCUUCAAGACUUUUGAUCUUAAGUUUUGCAAGGCUUUUGAAUUUUUUUAGAACAAUACGACUUAUCAUUCGAAAUUGGAAGAUGCAAUUAUUAUUAUUUACUUACGAAUUCUGUCAGCAAUUUGUUAUAAGAAGAAUUCACCAGCUAUACUCUUCAGCCAUUUGAUCCAUAUUUUAGUAAUUCGAAUGAGUUAAAAUUUUAUAAUAUCUGAGGAGACAAAAAAUUGGGUGAAAGCCAUUUGUAUUAUAAUUUUUUGUGAGGGUGGCAUUAAGUUUGGUUAUUAAAAAUAUAUGAAUUAUUUUCAAUUCCAUUACAAAAGACAUUACUCUGUACAUAUGUCAGGCUCAAUAUAAAAGAAAGAUCAUGUGGGUGGAGAUUAUUAUAUUUUUCUAUAUAAUACUAUGUACCUGCAGUUUUCAAAGGGGGUGUAGGAGGUGGGUUCUCCAUUCCUUUCAUAUCUGGACCUUAGAAGAAAACCAAUUGUCAGAUAGAGAGCCAUAUUAAGAUUUGUAUUCUUUUGGCUUGUAAAAGAAUUUCUUAUACUUGCGUAGUCUUUUGGAGUAGUGCUUUGGUUAGAGCUUGGUAGAUAGUUCCUAUGGUGAUUUCACUAUUGAUUUUGGUGAUAUGAAACAGAAAGCUAGGUUUUUCUGUAGUGUUUUUAGAAAUAGUGUCUUUCCACUUUUUCUUAUGACGAAACCUUGGAAAUUUAAUUCUCUCGGAGGAAGGUUGAAGAAGGAUGUUAAUGGUUAAGAUAUGAGAAUAUUUUUUUUUACGUUAUUGGAAGAAAAUAACAUUUACUCUCUUGGGUUUGACUUGUUCUAUAAGGCCUUAAUUUAUGCUAUUCAAUACUUCUGUUAAUUCUUUUAUUUUAGUUUUUUAAAAUAUUUGGAAAUGAGAUUAUUCUUGUGGUUAAUUGAUAGAUUCUGCUGUUUUUACGUGAAAAUCUAUAUUAUCAGUCUAGAUUGUCUUCUUACCUUCUCUGCAUGAUCUCAUGAGCAAGUUCUUUCGCACCAUUGACUGGUAUUAUUCCAUUUUCACAAAGAUUAUGUAAAACCCCAUUUUCACAAAGACUGGUAUUAUUCCAUUACAUGUCUUCUACACCAAGACUUAGCCUUUACUUCUGUUACCGUUACUCCUCUUCUCAGCCACUAUCUACGCCGCUCCUUUCCCUCUCCCCAACCCCAUCUCCAACCAUCUCCCCCGUCCCACGCACCUCCCCCACUCCCCCUCGCACAUCCUCCACCUCCCCACUCGACCCAAAGCAGCUCACAGCCUUCGAAUCCCUCAACAUCCCCACCCUCAAGAACCCCUGCGACCACCACCACCCCUCCUCCUCCAAAAAACCCCCCACCACCGUCGUAACCUGCGACACCGGCUCCCCAUUCCGCCUCGUCACCUCCCUCUCCUUCACAAACUGCUCCUCCGAUCUCUCCAUCUCCUCCACAGCCCUCAAAGCCCUUUCCCCCUCCCUCACCUCCCUCUCUUUCCACAACUGCCCUUCCCUCUCCGCUCCCCCUCACCUCCCGGACUCGCUCCACUCCUUCUCCGCCGUCUCCUCCUUCCCCCGCCUCUCGGGACUCUCCCUCGCUCGCCUCGUCAACCUCACCGACAUCACUGUCUCCUCCGUCCCUGUCUCCACCUCGGGGCUAUUCGUCAUCCUCGGGAACAUGCACGACAUCGUCUCCCUCACCAUCUCCCACGCCAAUCUCUCCGGGAACAUCCCAAAAUCCUUCCACUCGAAUCUCACAUUCAUCGACUUAUCGGAUAAUCUCAUCAAAGGACCAAUACCCACUUCGAUUACUCUCCUCUCCAGCCUCAAAGCUUUAAACUUGUCGUCGAACUUGAUCUCCGGCGAGAUACCCGACAGCAUCGGGAGUCGAAAAUUGAAUGUGUGAAAGUGAAUCGAUGAGAACUCAGCCGAGAAGGUUUCAAGCCGAGAAGACGAAGUGGGGAGGAGAAGAGACGGCGUGGAUCCAUAGUAGGGUUGGAAGCUCUUUUUGAAUUGGGCUAAUUGCUUUUUAUUCGAACUGGGCUAAUAACACUCUCUUGACCCACUGUCGUUGGACAUUUUUCACUUAAUAUAGGUACAUUAGAAACAAAAGCCCAAAAUUUUAAUUGAAAUGUUCUGAUUGGCUAAAUUUAAUAAGUGACGUGGACAGCUUUAGAAGGCUUUAUUAGUUCCUUUUAGUAUAGUAUAGAUAUUUUUUAUUGUUAAAGGAUUUUCAUUGAAUUUAAAUAAUAUACUAUUUGUUUUGUUCAAUUAUUUUUAAAACAUAAGUUUUGGCAUCUCAAUGAUUUCUUGAUCAUAAAGUCGUAUUUAUAUUUAUUUUAUGAAACUCUUAAAUCUUAAUAUAUAUAUAUAUAGUGUGUGUGUAUCCCCGUAAUCUAAGUGUGAUUUUGCAGAAGAAACAUAGGAAGUGAUGUAUACUGGGGUUUAGCAUAACAAAAGCCAAAGAACCAUGCAGUUGUCAUGUAAAAAAAAACUCACUUUUCUAGAGAUUGAUUUGUUUUUUGUAUGUGUGUGAUUUUGGUUGUCGUGACUUGCAUGCCUUUGAAAAGUUUUUUUUUGUGUGGCAGAGACAAUAUCCACUUUAGAACACAUGAUCUUGAUGACUAGGUUUUGUUCUCUUUUCUUUGGACAUCAGACACCCAACUUAUUAAGACAUCAUCAUAUCUAUUUAGAUUCUCCUUGGAUAUAAAAUAUGAAUGGAUAGCAUAUUGUUUAUUUUUGUUUAAUCUAAGUAUAUGUAGUAUAUGGUUUUUUAUCAUUGCUUACCUAGUAGGGAUGGAUAAUUAUCUGUAGAUCCGUUUUGAAUUAGUAUUCGAUUUAUUCCAAAAGUUUGAUUUCGUAAGUGCCUUUAAUCGUGAACUUGUAAGGUCUACGCAGAACAAGAACAUAUUAAAAACAAGCUUAACCACAUUGAAACAAAAUCAAAAUAAAAAUCGAGUUGAAGUACUAAGGGAUGUCCAUGCAUAAUUUCUUGAAAGAUUUCCCGGACAAUCGGCCACUUUCACGAAAAGAAGGCCAAAAUAUGUAGUGAUAUAAAUGUACACUGAUUGUUUCUUCUUGAAAUUGAACAGAACAAAAAAUAUCAUAUUAAUGGCAGUCUUAAACUUAGUAAUAGUGGCUCGAACUAAACCGCUGACCCAUAAAUUCUAUAAAUUUACGAAUAAUUAACUGAUAAAUAAGAAAUUAUUUCCAAAGAGAAUUACUCGACAGAGUGCGAUAGACAUGUUUGGUUUAAAUUAGGGCCCUAAGGGACAGAACUAUAAAAAGUUAGGUAAUGUGCAAAGAGUGUAAAGCAAUUUGGAAUUGAUGGUCAAAAUUAGUAAAGGCAUGGGCCAAACUAAUACAUAAAUGGAGAGACAUUGCAUUACAUAAAUCUACAUUUAUGAAUUGUUAUGGUUUUAUUCUCUAUCUCAACUUUAUUUCUUUCGUUUUAUAAUAAUGUUUUUCUUUUUCUUUUGGGUCACCAUGAGAAUGUUUUAUGUUUGGAUUUAUGAAAUGUACUAUGAUAAAAAAGCAUAUUUACAAAAAUCUACAUGUGAAGAAUGAAUGCAUGUGUGAUCAAAAAUGUUUUUUUGGGACACGCUGCACACAUAUGUAUUUUGUUCAUCUUCGUGUAAAAGUAUUAGUCUUUAUCUUGGCUCAUGAAUCCAGAAAAACCUAGAUUUUUGACUUUUACUCCGAAUUAACCAAAAAACGAUCCAAACCAAAAUCGAACUGGAACCGAACCAGAAUCAAAUAGGAUCCGGAAUUAUUUUGGAUAUUAAUCAGUUCCUAAUUUUGUUAUCCAGACCAAACUGAUAACUGAACCGAAUUUUCUAAAUACUAAAACGAAUAUCCCACAAAUGUAUCUUAUGAUAUCAUAAUGAAUUUUCAAUGUUGAAAAAAAUACUAAGUUAAAAGAGUACUAUCAUCCAAAUAUUCUAUUCAUUACAAUGGUUAUGAAAGGAUUGGUGGGUGCCCAAUUGAAAUCCAUAUUCUAUUGAUUACAAUGGGCCACAAAUUGCUAUGAAACGUCAUCAUGAAUUAAAAUUCUGGUUAAACCAACCAAUUUUCUUACUCAAGCCCAAAGUUUUCAAUUAAAUGAGCCUAAGAAGCCCAAAACAUUUGCUUGAUAUCCGUCAAAAAAAUGAAAGAACUCAAAACGACGUCAGAUAAGAUCAGAAGAAGAUGGGUAAGAGAAAAAUCUAAUACUUGAAUCCUAUUGGUUACCUUAUCCACUCAAUCGAACCAACUCUAGCCUCUCAUUACAGAACAUUAUCCUGUUUCUCAUUAAAUACAUUUGUAAGAGCAAUUAGCUCGUUACAGAGAAAAAACAAACAAACACAAAAAAAAAAACAUGGCAGCUCAAGCCUCGGGUCUCUUUAGCUCCGCCGUGACAACCGCCGCUACCUCCGGCGUAAAAAAGCUCCACCUUUUCACGACAUCCCACCGUCCAAGAUCCCUCUCCUUCCCCAAAACCGCAAUCCGCGCCGAGAAAGCAGACUCCGCCGCCGCCGCCCCCGCCGCCGCCGUGAAAGAAGAAGCUCCGGUGGGAUUCACGCCGCCGCAGCUAGACCCGAACACGCCGUCUCCGAUCUUCGCGGGAAGCACGGGCGGUCUUCUCCGCAAGGCCCAGGUGGAG